AAAAAUUUCCUCCCCUAACAAAGGGGUGCAGGCAGGCACGUGCCGGUCUCCGGCACAGGAGCCAAAGGUGCGCUAAGUGCGUGGGCGCCCGCUGGAAAGCCAGGACUGGGAACCGAGGGUCCGGCUUACCUGCCUGAGGCCGAGAGGCCCAGAAGAUGCUGGAGGAAGACAGAGCCGCGUGAGUGCUUUGUGUUUUGGCCCUUGUUUGCUUCGGGAGCUUUAUGGCCUCUUCAGUGGAAGGAGAGGAGGUGAAGGCAUUGCUCCUCCAGUUUUUAAUCCCCUCAGCUAAUUACCAGACCUUUCUUGUGGUUUUACUGGGACUCUUUACGAAGUGGGUGGAUUUACACUGUUUGUGUUUGUAUGUUGUACUUGGAUUACGCCUUAAUGUGUCACGAUGAUGACAAAGGGGUUUGCAGCGGCGGGCAGGCAAGCUUCCUUGCUUUUAAUGGAAAGCACAUUCCAGCACUUUCUUUUAUCUGCAACACAUAGAGCUGCUUAGAACAAAGCGUUGCCCCUAAGACAUGGUCCCCAAGAGUCUUUAAUAAGGACCAGACCCCUGUGAAGGUAUUAAUUAAAUAUUUUAAGCAGAAUGGCUUUAGCUGGCUGGGGCAUUUUUAUGAGGGGAGGGAGUGUAUUUAAAAGCAGGGCUGUUUCUGUAACAGGAACCUGUUUUGAAGGAAAUGUUCUUGGGCGGGACUCUACGGGUACCAGGCUGUCAAACCUCUGGGCCAACUUGAUGUCAAAAACAGACGUUCUGAAUGUUGCAAACAAUGUUUGUGGAAUUUGGACACGAUUCUAGGGUGGAUUUAACACAGAGAAUAGUGAGAGUCUGAGUCUACCGGGCACCCUUAGAGCCCGUUUUCUUAUAAUAGUCCUGUGGGAGAGGCUUGGAUGAGGCCAUUUUAUAGAAAAAAAAAAAAAAAAUGAAGUGACUGCUUUCCAAGGUCACAAAGUGCGGUGGAGGAGCUAAGCUCCAAAGCUCCAGUUAAGUCACUCUGUCUGUCUGUCAUCCAUCUGUAUUUCAGAAUACUGGGCUCUUUCUCAGAAAGUAGAAGGAACAGAGAUGAGUUUAUAGAGCAGGCGUUUUUCCAAAUUCAAAGUAAUCAGAGUUACUGAACAUGAGGUUUACUGUAGGGGCACAGAGUUGGCGGAUUUUUCUGGAAGGCAGGAUGGUGCGGUGAAAAGAGAAACGCACUUGGGUUAAGGGGUUCAGGUGUGGACGCCGGCUCUGUCGCUUGUGACAGUGAGCGACUCCCUCCCUGAGCAAGUGCCCACCCAGCCUGCAAAAUUAAAAUGGUACUUAGCAUCAUCUAGGUGCUCAGUGAAGGUGAGCGAGAGCUGAACUGGGGCCUAGUGGUGGGGGCGAGAGGUAGGGAGGAGGUGGUCUUUCGUUCCCCUGGGGACCAUUUUGGGUCUUCAGGAAUCAGCAGUUCAGUGAGUUCCUAGGAGCCUCCCCAUCCUGGCCAGCGAUAGCCAAACCGACAAGCGGAAGGGGAGACGCGUUCAAAUCCGAUAUUGGACACCUCUCAAGGGAGCACUCCUGCUCUAGUGAGCAGGAGAAGCGUGGCUGGACACAUGUGGUGCUGGUGUGGCUACUUCUGGCAUUCGUUUGGUUCAUUCUGGGCCCAUCAACCUACUUCCUGGCUCGGCUGGCCCCUUGGGGGACCACCCUCAGUGACGACCCACCUGCUCCAGAUCUCCAUCUUUCCACGUUCUCUACUUACUCGGAUGUUCUAUUGCCUUAUACGUGAAACCUUUGAAUUUUCUCUAAAUGGCAUAUGUGUUCAUGUCUGUGAAGGUCCUUCGUGAUCUGGGACCAAGGGGGUACCCACCUGGAAGGGCUAAUUUUUAUCGUCCCCCUAACGGGUCUGCCCUGCCGGCUCCUCCACACUCUCCUCUGGGUCUUCAGAAACUUCCAGGAGUUCCCAUGCAGCCAUUCUCACCGCUCUAGUUCAAGAGCCCCCUGCCCCAACAUUUUCUUUCUCUGCUUUACUUAGGGAGGAAUAUUACGGGGCUAAUAUACGUACACCCAACCUCCAAACCACGUCUCAGAUACUCCGUGGCCACACAGCCUCUGGGGAAAGACUUCAGGUCUUUCUGCCCCACAUGGCCACCAGCAGGAAGGACAACGGAAAUGUGCAAUUCAGGAGAUGGCUCACCUUCUCCUGUCUGCUAACCUCUCUGUGCCUCACCUCCUCAUAUUCAUCUUUUAUUUAAAAAUUCUUUAAAGUUUAUUUAUUUUGAGAGAGAGAGAGAGAGAAUGGUCAUCAUGUGAGUCUGCAAGUGAGGGAGGGGCAGAGAGAAGCAGAGAAAGAAUCCCAGGCAGGCUGUGCACCAUCAGCUCGGAGCCCGACACGGGGCUUGAACUCGCGAACUGGGAGACCACGACCUGAGCCGAGAUCAAGAGUUGGACGCUUAACCAACUGCGCCACCCAGGCUCCCCAUCGCUUCCUUGUCUUUGCAAUGAGGAUCACAGUCCUAUCUUCCUCGGUGCUUCCUGGAAGGAUCAAAUGGCCUAAGUGCCUACAAAGCACUUAGCACUUAGCAAAGGGUCUAGUCCAUAAGCUGCGGCUAUCAUGAGUGCCAAUAAAAACAACUGGAAACGUAAGGAUUUGAGGACAAAGAAUGUAACUGAUUUUGAAUCUCUGUGCCCUCACUCACUUGAAUAUUUAUGCACACCAACCUCGCUAAAGCUCUUCCCUCAUCCUGACAACAGACGUGACGAUCCCUCGCUCCCAAGGCCGCUGGGAUGUAAACUCUCUAGGCCUAUGCCCAGCACAAAGUGUGCAUCGUGGGUAUCAGUCGCCCAGUUUCGUAGGGGAAUUGCCUGCUCUUGCUGAAUGUUGCAAAGUGUUGGGAGCUGCGGUUCGUGGGCUUUGCCUCCACCAGCACGUGGAACGGGAGGUACGCAGGGCGAGCAGGUGGGGGUUAAAGUCGAGGAAUACUGUCUCCUCGAACUGACAGUGACUCACGACACAUUUGCACAGAUUGCCAAGAGUCCAGACCUUUGCCAAAGCGGGGAGAUGCAGGAGCGGUGAGCAAAGUGCGUUCUGUCCCUGGGGGUAUAAACACGGCACUGUCUGUGACCUCAAAAGGUUUGGGUGGGAGGGCCAUUGAGGUCGGCUGUCCAUCGUUUGGACUGGGCCCAGCCUCCCCAAGGAAGCGCCCAGGGAGCUACCUGCGUCGUGUCUGAAAGCCGUCAUUAGCCAGAGCCAGCAGCAUGUGGGACGCAGCACGGGACCCCAGGCAGCCACCUGGGUGGGGGUGAGGUGGGGUGAGGUGAGGUGGGGUGGGGUGGGUGGCUGGGGGGAGGGGUGCUACCGCCGCUUUUUCUGGGAUAAGUGGUUCCACUUGCUGCAGAGGGAGAUGUGCAAGGGACAAACCCGCUCCCUGUAAGGCCCGGUGAGAGAACUUGCAGAACCCCCCUGGGUCUGUCCCUGCCUGGCCACUGUCCCGGGUGGGCAGGCUGUGGGGUGGGUGUGACUGGGGUGAGGUGGCUGUUAUUUCUGAUACCCACUGGCUUGAAGAAAAUGCACACAAUGUUUGUAGAGUAUAUAGUGUAGGUGUAUACUGUAAUAUACACGUCUUUGUGGUUUCGUUUUUCAUAUGUGAUCUAAAAUUGGUGUUUAACAAGUAAAAGCUGGAAUUUUGCAGAUGUCUGAACAGAGUGGUUCAAAUAGGAUCUGAGGUUUGGGGUGAGGAAGAGCUCGGGUCUGAAGGGACGUGACAUCCUGACAUUGUACCCCGAUGUCCUGUGGCCGUGCAUGUGUGUUCCUGUCCCCAGUAUGCACUCCUUGAUGUUGGGGAGGAGGUCUUAUGUUUCUUGCAUCCUUUAGUUCUGAAACCUAAUAUCUGUCCAGCAAAUGUUUAUUGAAUUAAACUGCAGCUCUUGUAUAAUGAGCAGAUUCUUUUUCAGUUGAUACAGGGUUUUUUUUUUUUUUUUCUUUAAGAAAAUCAGUAAGUGAUCUCGGAUGUCUUUAAUGGAACUUAAGGGACUAUAUUCAGGUUUUUCUCUUAAAUGAUGAAAACAACAGUUCUGUAUUACCUGAAGAUAGGAUUGGCUUCUCAGGCCCCCCAAAACUGGGGCUUUGAGGGAAAAGUCUGAACUGGUUUCUGAGACGAAUCAGAGCCCUGGGUUUUUCCCAGAGUGCAGAGCGGCAGCUCUGUCCAGGCUGGUCAGCUGCAUGGAGCAACUUAAAAUGCUUGGCAUCGUGGGGCAAGGUGAAGCAAUGACCCGUCCCUUUCGAAAUAACUUUUUCCGGUAUGACUGGUGUCUUUAUGUUUGUUCCGGUAUGGCCGGGUGAAGACACAGAGGAACACAGAGAAUGCCAUGUGACCAACGAGGCAGAGACUGACAUAGGCACCUAAAGUCAAGGAACACUAAAGAUUGCCAGCAAACUACCAGAAGCCAGAGAGGCUUCAACUUUGAAUCCACCCGACACCGUUUUUCUGGUUCUCUUCUGGUUUUUCUCUGUGCUCUCCUAUAUUUUCCACAUUCACAUGCUAGCCUUGCUCCUACUUGUUUACUCGAGGGCAGGUACUUUUCACUCUUCUCCCUACUUCUGAUGGUGACUUCUCUAUGCUACCUUUGCACUCUUCCCCUGUCCAGAGCCGGUGCGUACAGUUGCACAUGUUGCUCACUGCACAAGAACUCCUGGCCAGGGAGAAAGUAGGGCUAGAAUCCAGCCUAUGUUCUGCUUGCCAGGCUAUGUACUCUGGUGUAGGGCCACAGCCACAGUGGGGGGAUGCUUUUAAAAAAUUCUCAUGAAGGGGUGCCUGGGCAGCUCAGUCGGUUUGGUGUCCGACUUUGGCUCAGGUCAUGAUCUCACCAUUCAUGAGUUUGAGCCCCAUGUCAGGCUCUGUACUGAUAGCUUAGAGCCUGGAGCCUAUUUCGGAUUCUGUGUCUCCCUCUCUCCUUGCCCCUCCCUCGUUCGUUCUCUCACUCUCAAAAAUAGAUAAAAUUAAAUAAAUAAAUUCUCAUUAAGAUGCUGUAUGGGCCAGUGCUGGCUGGGCUAGUUAUUUUCCUGAAAUUGGCUAUCCUUCGACUUCUCCAUGCCCUCUGGCCUCAAGGUCUCCAGUGGCUUCUGUGGACUCUGUCCCUUGCCCGGCAGAGCUCAUCUCAAUCUCUGCCUCUGCCUUUACCCCAGAAUGCCCUAGCAGUGCUCUCACUGGCCUUCUAGAGAUUUCCCAAUGUAUUCCAUGGUAGCUCUUUCUAUGGCAGCGCGUGGGCAUCCCAGGGGCAGCCCUCAGUAGCACCAGAAAUUAUUGGUCCCCGCUCUUUCCUCUGAACCCAUAGCAGAUGCCGGCAGGAACCGUAGGCGGUGGCGUCCCCACAGCUCAGGAUCCAAGAGACUCAUUCCAGCCGCCAAAGCGCUAAGCUUUCCCUGUGAUCACACAUUUUUGCACCAGCCAGAGCUCGCACAUGCCUCUACAGACCCGCGGCCAGAGGCAUGUGGAUAUCAGUGACUGCUCGGAGAAGCUGGCCAAGGCCAGCCCGGCGAGGGAGGGCCCGGAUUACGUGCACGAAGAGAUCUAUUCGAAACAACUGACAAGAAACUGUAUGUCGGAAAUCAGAACAGCUGUGGGCUCCUCACCGCGGCAGAUGGGUAUGCGGGGAAUGCUAUGCAGCUUUAAUCACAUUUAACACGCCUGUCAGAGAAUUGGGUCCAUCUCAGUAUUAAUUCGGGUUUCGCACAUUGUUUGUUUGACAGAGUUCGGCCAUACCGUGCAUGCUGCACUCAGCGCGGCCAGAAAGAAGAGGGUUUCUGUGACCUGUUUUCAGCAGAGAGCAGCCAGUGCGGGUUCACACUGGGGCUGGGAGCAGGGUGAAGGGGGCACCACCGUGAGCCCGCCUUAGGGGGCAGAGCUUGGCUGAGGCUGCGGCCGGAGUGCCCAAGGAGGGGGGCCUCCCGGCCCUGACUUACGAUCACUGUGCGGUGCCAGUGUGUGUGUGUGUGUGUGUGUGUGUUUAAAUUCUGAAUCAGAAAAAUUUAUUUUUGAGAGAGGGGGAGGGGCAGAGAGAGAGAGAGAGAGAGAGAGAGAGGGAGACAGAAAAUCCAAAGCAGGCCCUGAGCUAUGAGCCCAAAGCCCGACGUGAGGCUCGGACCCACAAGCCAUGAGAUCACGACCUGAGCCAAAGUCAGACACUCGACCAACUGAGCCACCCAGGCGCCCCCUAAAUUCUGAAAUUUCAAGUAGGAAACGAUUUCAGCAUUUCCAUUCUGGGCCACGCCUGCACACGGUUUCUGGCCAGGAAAGGCAACCCUGCCGGCCACAAGCCCCAGGGGUGGCCGCACGAUGGAAGAGGAGGAGAGGUUUGGGAACAAGCAGACUGGACGUCGAGUCCUGCUGUUGCCUGCUUCAUUUGUUCAUCCAUCGACCCACAAAGACCAAUUCUGCCAGAGGCACGUUCUCUGCACUCUGUGUACAUGAGAAAAACAACUCUUCGAAGCAGGGUGGCUUGGGUGCCAACCAAACCUAUUCCCACCUGACACAAACACACCCGGGGUCAUUGUCUGAAGGAUAAAUGAAGUAAGUGCACGGAAAGCACAUAGCACAUCGCAGGCAAAGGGGCUCAAGACAGGACGGCCGGCAACAAUAAAACUGUUUCCGCUUCCUCCCCAGGAAGAGGAGAUUUCUGCUUCCCUGGGAAAAAGGUCCCCACUCGUGGACAUGGCAGGCCGUCUUCUGCCCAUCCCCCCAGCUCUGGCUUACAGUCUGGGUCGUGCUGGCCUGCUGGUAAUGAGUUACCUUAGGUACUCCUGGUACUCUAGAACAUUUAAACACUGCUAAUGGAAUGGAGUUUUGCUGUUUGGAAUUGCAAAGGCAGAAUUUAAAAGGCUGGUUCCCGAGGCCCCUGGGCAGCUCAGUUGGUUAAGCGUCCGACUUCGGCUCAGGUCAUGAUCUCACGGUUCCUGAGUUCGAGCCCCGUGUCGGGCCCUGUGCUGACAGCUGGGAGCCUGGAGCCUGCUUCGGAUUCUGCGUCUCCCCCUUUCUCUGCCCCUCCCAUGCUCAUGCUUGUCUCUCUCUCUCAAUAAUAAAUAAACAUUUAAAAAAAUGUACAAAGCUGGUUCCCCAAGAAUACCACUAGAGACUUGAGGUCUCUAAAACUCCCUAUGAGGUAUUAAAAACAGAAACCAAAUGCCUGCAAGUAUACACAGGCUGCCCUCAGGAAAAACGAUCCUCGUUUCUAUUUCCUGGGGCCCGAGACAGUGGAAGGAUGAGAGAGAGGAGAGGCUGAGGAGCCCAUCAUGCUGGACUUUUCUCCUGGCCCUCAAAAGCCAGCCUGGGAUAUGGCACGCUCUUUUCCGUGGCUCUGUAGUGGUUAUCCUUAGUUUCACAGCUUCUACAGAAUUUUUUCAACACUUCAAAGGAAAAAUUUUAGCUUCGGCUUUUAAAAGGUCUUCUUUUGCCAUCUAGUUAGUAUCCUGCUGGGCAUAGAGGCUGGAUCCUCUGUCACGGUCUCUGAUGCCGAGAAUGCAUUUUCGACUUCCACCCGUAGACGGGGUCGAACUUUCACAUCUCGGCAGACCUUUCCGAGGCCUUCAUGUACCGGAAAGCACAUUUUGAGAUUAUAUAGAUGAACAAGAGCUUCGUGUGAAGAUCAUGGCUGAUUUCGACUGGUCAGGGAAUCAAGUCGGUGGGCGUUCCGUUGCCGCUACUAGGUAUGGAAAGUCAGAGGUCAGAUGGAGGGGCACGACGGUUACAAAAUCUAAUAGCUUGUGAAUUGCCAGCAGAGUGCGGACACAAUCAGUUGCCCCCUUCAGGCCCCGCCUCAGGGUCUGAUUAAGAAGCCCGGGUUGGGACUCAAGAAGCUGCCUAUUUAGUAUACACGUAGGCAUUCUAAUGCUGGUAAUUGGAGACCACUCUUUGAGGAACACUGGCGUCCAGAAGGAGAAAUACACACGAUCGAUAAGUAGAUCCUCCAGACCAGUAUUAUUUGAAGAAAUAUAAAUGGGAUUUUUCAAGCCUAUCCAAUUGGCAAGUAUUUUCCUAGGUGGUAACGCCCAGCACAGGCAAAUACUCAACUCAGUAGGUGGCCCUUCUCUUCCUGCUAAGGGGAGUGGUACCUGUGACUGGUCUGUGACCGAGGAGAGGGGGGAGAGGUGCGGUGGCGAAGAGGGGAGGGAGGUAGCUGGAGGCAGGGAGAAAAGGUGGGUGGAGGUCUGGGGGCACAAGGUGAGGUGGGGAGUGGAGAUUUGGCCAUGUGUAUCAAAGAGCCUGAACAGCUUUCUAACCCUUGAGCCCAGGAGACUACUUCAAGGAGGAAUUUAUCAGAAAGGAGUAAUUAUAAGCAAGCACAAAGUUGUAAUGAUACGGAUGCACAGUUCCCUGUAGAAUUACCGGUUUUAUGAAAAACAAAAAUAGUUCAAGUAUCCACCAUGAAAGGUCUUUGGUUAAAAAAAUUAUGGUAGAUUGGGGCACCUGGGUGGCUCAGUCGGUUGGGCAUCCGACUUCGGCUUAGGUCAUGAUCUCACUGUUCAUGGGUUUGAGCCCUGCGUAGGGCUCUGUGCUGACAGCUCAGAGCCUGGAGCCUGCUUCGGAUUCUGUGUCUCCCUCUCUUUCUGCCCCUCCCCAGCUCACGCUCUGUCUCUCUCUCUGGCUCUCAAAAAAUACACAUUAAAAAAUUUUUUUAAAUUAUGGUAGAUUAAUUGAUGAAAUAAUAUGCAGAUAUAUUUCAUGGUGUUCAAGAAUAGAGAAAGUCGUGAAGACAUUGUCAAGUGAUAGUAAGUGAAAAGUAAAUAUAUUUUUAGAAAGAUCAUUUGUCCUCUAGAUUUUUUGAGAUUUCUAUGGCAAACAGGUCUUUAAUUUUUACAGUCGGAAAGUUGCUAAUUAGUGUUACUCUGAAGAAGAAGAGGGGAGGAUUACAUUUGACAUCUGUCAGGCCUGGAUUCGCAUUCCUGUCACCGAUCGAAUGUGAUUUGGGGCAUCCGUCUCUGUGUUUCAGAUUCCUCAACUGUAAAAUCAAGUAAAUGAUAACGGUGUAUGGGUUUGUCAUGAGAAUUACAAGAGAUAAUUACAUAAAUGCAAUUGACACGUAAUAUGGUAUAUAAAUGUUGGAUUUUAUCCCCGCUUUCAAAUUUGGAAAUCAGAAAGUACUAACCUCUGGCCAAAGAUCAAAAGAGUGCAUUUCUUUUACACAAACUAUGGAAUUUCAAGUUGUUUCUUUUGGAUACUUUUCUGGAAAAGGGUUCUCAGGGCAUAGUAAAUGCUGUUGGAAAUGAGAACUGGAAUUUGUCGUUGAUAUCCUAAUUGGCUAACUACAGCCUCUCGUCCUAUUGGUUUUCCCUUUUGUCAGCUGUAACAGUUUAGAAUAUUUAAAUAAUUGUCCUUCUACAAUUUUAACAAAAGAAAACUCUUAAGAUCCGUGUUUAGAGGGGCGGUAAAGCUCAGACUAUUUUCCAUCUCCUUAAAAUCCCACCAAGUCCCUAUACUAGUUACAAUAGGCAUUGACAUGUAAUACACUUAGGAAUAAAUCUAGUGAAAAAUACACCAGACUCAACAAGGAAAACGACAAAACAUUGAGAGAAAUUUUAUCAGCUAGGUGAAUGAAGGGAUGUGCCAUAGUCAUGUUGUGGAAGGCUUAAUGCUGUAGAGAGGUGAAUUUCUUCCAGAUGUCAGUAAAUAUACAUAUAGAUUAAAUUAGAAUGCUUAUGACAGCAGUAUCUGUAAUAGCCCCCAAAUGACAACAGCCUAAAUCAUCGUGAGUACAAUGGGUAGAUCAGCUAUGGUAUAUUCCCCAAAUGGAAUGCUAUACACCAAUGAUAAUGAGCAAUCUACCACUAUAAAUGGUACAUAAAUGAAUAUAAAUCUCAUCAACUUUAUGUGGCACAAAAAGAGAAACUCAUGAAAGAACACAUGUUGUAGGACUCCAUUUAUACAAAGUUCAAAAACAGGCAAAACUAAUCUAUGUAAUUAGAAGUCAACAUCCUGGUUUUCCUUUUGGGGGGAGCAAUGAUUGGGAAGGAGCAUGAAGAAGGUUUCCUGGGUGCUGGUAACAUUAUUUCAUGGUCUGAAGCUGGUGAAAUGGUUGUGUUUGGUUUGUGAAAAAUCAAGUUCUAUACCAAUGAGCAAAUAUACAGAUGUGCAUAUGUGACUAUAUAUGAGACUUCAAUAAAAAGUAUAAACUCAGUUUCCUUAAGUAUGUUUCCACUACUAGGUAUUUUCCCAAAGAAAAUGAAAAUGCUAUUUUGAAAAGAUAUGUGCAUCCCUUUGUUUAUUGCAGUAUUAUUUACAAUAGCCAAGAUAUGGAAACAACCUAAGUACCCAUCAAUAGAUGGAUAAAGAUUAUAUAUAUUACAUCUUUACUAUAUAUAUAUAUAUAUAUAUAUUCAUACAUAUACAAAUAUUAUGCAUCCUUAAAGGAAGUGAUCAUGCCAUUUGUGACAACAUGGACGGACCUACAGCAUAUUAUGCCAAGUGAAGUCAAAUUGAGAAAGACAAAUACCAUAUGUAGAAUCUAAAAAAACAAACCAACCAAACAAAAACACCAACAGACUCAGACCUAUAGAUACAAAGAACAAAUUGAUGGUUGACAUAGAGAAGGAGCGUAGGGAUGAGCAAAAUGAGUGAAGGAGAGUGAGAGAUCCAAGCUUCCAGUUGUGGAAUAAGUUACAGGAAUAAGAGGCACAGCUUGUGGACUAUAGUCAAUCCUAUUGUCCUAGUGUUGUAUGGUGACAGGUGGUAGAUACACUUGUGGUGAGCACAGUAAAAGGCAUAAACUUGACAAAUCAGGUUACAUCCGUUUCAGAUGUACAACAGUGAUCCAGGUGUAGGACAUGUGAUUCGACAGCUAAACUCAAAAAAAAAACGAAAGACACAGUCUCUCAUUAAAGUUAUGUUUAUUGAAAACUUCAUGUUUGGCUGUAUUGCAAUCUUGGGUGGCAAAGCUCCACCGUCCUUUUGACAGAGGAAAUGAGCAGUGAUUACAGUGUUGAGGUUUCCACAAUGGAAAGGCAGAGUAAGAAACUACUUCAAAAGCUUUGUUUAGGGCCAAUACAGUUAGGAGAAGAGAGACAGCAAAGUAAGAUUUAUUGACCAGCUAUUACAAUUUUUUUAUUUCACAUUGUUAUUCAAAUUCUAGUUAACAUAUACGGCAAAAUUGGUUUCAGGUGUAGAAUUUAGGGAUUCAUCACUUACCUAUAACACCCAGUGCUCAUCCCAACAAGGGCCCUCCUUAAUGCCCAUCACCCACUUGGUCCAUCCCCUCUCCAACUCCCUCCAUCAACCCAGUUUGUUUUCCAUAGUUAAGACUCUCUCAUGGUCUUAUGGUUUGCUUCCCUCUCUUUUCCCUUUCCCUAGGUUCAUCCGCUUUGUUUCCUAAAUUCCAAAUUUGAGUGAAGCAAUAUGGUAUUGGUCUUUCUCUGACUAACUUCUUUUGCUUAACAGAAUACCCUCUAGCUCCGUCCGCAUCAUUGCAAGUGACAAGGUUUCAUUCUUUUUUGAUGGCCGAGUAAUAUUCCAGUGUGUGUGUGUAUAGACACCACAUUUUUUAAACAUUUUAUUUAAGAGAGAGAGAGAGAAAAUUGGGGAGAGGGCAGAGAGAGAGCAAGAAUCUUAAGCAGGCCCCAUGCUCAUCAUGGAGGCUGACAUAAGGCUUGAUCCCAUGACCCUGGAUCGUCACCUGAGCUGGAAUCAAGAGAUGCUCAACCAACUGAGCCACCCAGGGGCCCCCACCCACCACAUCUUUAUCCAUUCAUCAAUUGAUGGACGUUUGGGCUCUUUUCAUCGUUUGGCUAUUAUUGAUAAUGCUGCUAUAAACAUUGGGGUACACGUGCCCCUUUGAGCCAGUAUUUUUGUAUCCUUUGAGUAAAUACCUAGUAGUGAAAUUGCUGGGUGUAGGGAAGUUCUAUUAACUUUUUGAGGAACCCCCAUACUGUUUCCCGUGUGGUGAAUUUUAGCCAUUCUGACAGGUGUGAGUGGUAUCUCAUCAUGGUUUGGAUUUGUAUCUCCUUGAUGGUGAGUGAUGCUGAGCAUCUUUGCAUGCAUCUGUUAGCCAUCUGGUGUCUUUGGAAAAACGUCUUCAUGUCUUCUGCCCAUUUCUUAACUGGGUUACUUGUUUUUUGGGUGUUGAAUUUGAUAAGUUCCUUAUAGACUUUGGAUACUAACCCUUUAUCAGAAAUGUCAUUUGUGAACAUCUUCUCCCAUUCCAUAGGUUUUCUUUUAGUUUUUUGUUUUGUUGAUUGUUUCCUUCAUUGUGCAGAAGCUUCUUAUCUUGAUGAGAUCCCAAUAGUUCUUUUUUGCUUUUGUUUCUGAACAUCUGUUAGGUGUUAAUUCAUAACUAUUCAUGUUCUUCCCCCCCCCCCGAUAUCUUAAUUCAUAUGACAUAAUAGGACAAGAUUAUUAUUUUUCCUCUUUUAUAUAUUAGAAAACAGAGACUGAGUAAAUUAACUUGGUCAAGACCAGACAGAUGAGAAGAGGGGACUGUUUCUUGUGGCUUAAUUACCACAAACUAGGUGGCUUAACACAAUGAAGAUUUAUUCUUAGAGUCCUAGAGGCUGGAAGUCUAAAAUCAGGGUGUUGGUAGGGCUACAUUCCCUCCAAAGGCUCUAGGAAAGAAGAUUCCAUUCAUCACCUCUUCUGGUUUCUAGUAGCUCUACACUUUCCUUGGCUUUUGAUUGCAGAGCCCUAAUCUUUGUCUCUAUCAUCAAAUGGCUGUCUCGUCAGUGCUGUGUCUUCUCCUGUGUCUCCUCUCAGGACACUUGUCAUUGAAUUUAGGGCCCAACUGGAUAUUGCAGGAUGAUCUUGGAAUCCUUAGUUAUAUCUGCAAAGACCAUUUUUUUCCAAAUAAGGUUACAUUCACAGGGUUCUGGGGUUUAGGAUGUGGGUAUAGCUUUUGGACGGGACACCAUCAACCCACUAUAGGGGCUGAAGUUUAUAAAUGGAAAAGAAAAAAAAAAAAAGGAAACCGAAACCAUAAAUCUAAGAUCUGAUAUAGCUUCGGUACUAGAGAGGUUCUUUCUUUGUUAACAGUGGUCACAGCUAGUUCUUGUAUAGUUGUCAGGGCAACUUCCGAAGUGCCCCAAAGUAUCUCCUUGGAUAUGCCAGAGUUUAAGGAAGAGAAAAAAUGCCUUGAAAAGUUGCCAUCCAUUUCUGUUGCUGCUUGUAGAGGAUGCUCUUGGUGACUGGCCCAGACCUCCCUCACCAGUCUGCUGCACCCUGUGGUCCAGUACUUUGUUACCUGAUAACAGCUCACAGCCACUAUCUUCUUCAGAAAAUUGCCUUUGGCCAGGUGGGAGCUCUCUCCAUGUGCCGGUUAUACGCUCCCCAUAUCCCAGAGCCCAAUGACUGACAAGGGGUACAAGGUGGCCCUUAGCCUAAAAAUGGGAUCACUUUGGUGUUGCCAUUUGUGUUAAGCCACAUCCUUGCUUAACUUUCUUUGCCCUGCUCUGCCCUUCUGGCUUCCUUUCUCCUGAGCACACUCCUUCAAUAAAUCACUUUUUCAAGCCCCCCCCCCCCCCAGACUCGGCUUCUUGAGAAUUCUAAGACAAUGCCAUUGCCGUUGGCAAUAGCCCACCUUUCCUGCCAGGCUCUGCUGUUUGGAACUUCUUAUAUGUUUGGUAGGUGCACACACCUGUGAAGAUUUGAAGGCUGGGACCAUUUAGUAAGCUGAAUCCUGAAGUCUUGACUGUAAAUGGUUUUAUUGACAAAUUUUAUUUUAUUUAUUUUUUUAGGUUUGUUAUUUUGAGAGAGAGAGAGAGAGAGAGAGAGAGCGCGCUCAAGAUGGGAAGGGGCGGAGAGGGAGAGUAUCCCAAGCAGGUUCUGCACCCUCAGCGUGGAGCCCAAUGUGGGGCUUGAACUCACAAGCCGUGAGAUCAUGACCUGGGCUGAAGUCUGACACUUAACUGACUAAGCCACCCAGGCACCCCUUAUUGACAAAUUUUAUAAAUACCUAGCUUGGAAGGUCAAUAUCAUUAAUGUCAGCAAGAGUGAGUCCCUAAGGCCUGGAGACCCGCUUAUGACCAGCGACACCAACCACCACAGGAGCUGUUUUUUAAGUAGGCUUCAUGCCCAGCACAGAUCCCAAUAUGGACCUUGAACUCACAACCCUGAGAUCAAGACCUGAGCUGAGAUCAAGAGCCAGACACUUAACCAACUGAGCCACCCAGGGGCCCUGGAACAUCUUGGUUUUGUCUAUGUGCACGGGUGUGUGGGGGGGUGGGGUGGGGAGGGAAUGAGAUAGUUCAUUAAUCCAAGCAAAGAUUUUUCUGUCCUUUAAAGUGUGAUCUUAUCUUAAUUAUACUUUGCCGAAGACAGUAAGAAUAUAGAACUCCUUGCCAUUUAAUUCUAUUAGCCAAGCAAGCUAUUAGUCUGGCAGGAAGACUGUCUAAACAUCUUGGUUAGAAAUGGAUCAAUGAGUUGCUGAUGGGCCUACAAAAUCAUCAGCAUUAGCUCUUUUAAAGAUAGCCUUCCUUUUAAAUGCACAACAUACACAGUAUUUUAAAGACAUCUCACUGCAGACACAUCUCAAUCAACAUUAUCCUUACAGUAAGACAACAUGGACUGUCAACUUGGCCUGAAUAUAGCAGCAUUAGAAUAAGUUUUUGAGGAUCCAAAAUCAAAGCUGGGAAGUGAGUUGGGGGGGGCGGGGAAGGGUUAGUUAAUAAGGACAAUGUAUGGUGCUACCUUAGGUAUGGUUUUCUUGGUGGUGGUAUGGAGUCCAGACUGGCUGAGCAGAGUGGGGGUGGGGGGGAAUACUUUUAUGGCUUGAACAUCCUGAAGCAGAAGUCACUGUGUAUCUACCCAUUUUCAUUCACCGCAGAACCACUGGGCUCAGUGUGAGAUGUCCCUGGGAAUUUGAAGAGAAGUCUGUCAGGAGUACUGUGAAUACUCCCGGCUUCUUUGCUUUACUCUGUAGAUCUGCCCUCUCACCACUCGUUUGCCAUAAACCUCGUCUAGGGGGACUUUUAGCUUCAGAUCCCUCUGUCGAGAACCUCUCUCCAUUGGUGUUUCUUAGUUCCGACUCCAGAAGGGGAAUUUGAUUAGCCAUCCUCUGCUGUCUAUGCCAGGCUAUGUGAUCAUAGCUCCCUGGCCAGCCUGCAGAGUUGUUGUGUGGGAUCAGGAGUCCACCCCUGAUACUAUCAUCCAGGGGCGAGGGUGGAGGGAGAAAGUCACGUGACCUAAAGCAUAGCUGCAUGAGGGGCUGCCUCCUCCUUGCGGAUGGUGGCUGGGGCAGGGACAGCGACCGAUAGGUCCAGUGUCAAGUUUUUGUUGCUGUGAGCAAAUACGGCCUCAACCUCCCUGCACAGUCUUGUCCCCUCACCCUUGUGGCCUUAUUAGAAGACUUGCUACUUGAGAGCAGGAUGGGGUCUUGUUCAGCUAUACAGCUCCCAGGAUACUGGGGCAGGGUCUGAAAUGCUACCUGGUCCUCAGCUCAUAUUUGUGGGAUUAGGAUGAAAACUGGGGAGGCUGAACCAGACUUACCCACAGUAAGGAAUAGAUCAGACCAGAAGACUACCACAGCAAUUCUCUCUGGAGGACAUUAGCAAUAGUCUUAGGAAUCUCCUUAUAUCUGUUAGAAGCUCUCGAUGUCUGCUAUACAGCUGACUCCCUUUUAGAAGGUCUCAGAAGGCCGUGGUUUUCUAGGCUCCGUCCCAGUGCUUCUCUCAAAUUACUAGCUUGUUUUUGAGACUUUUGGACUCUGAAUCAUUCAAGCUGGUCCAAGGUGUGUAGUUGGCAUUGUGGAUGGGAGAAUUUUGUGUAGGACUGUGGUAUGCAUUGCAGGAUAUUUGGUCUUCCUGACUGCAUCCACUAAAUGCAAAAGCAGCCUCAAGUCAUUGUGAAAAAAGAAACACGCCCUAUGGUUCCACACUCCCCGCUCCAAAUAGCCUCUGAAGUUGAUAGGUUUUCCUCUUUGCUUUGGCCGUUAGGAAGCUCAGGGAGAUAUAUGGCAAGUGCCCUCAAGAACAACAACAAAGGAUCUCAUAACAGGCGAGUUUUAUAUUAUCCUUGCAAGAAGGGAUUUUCUUCUUUCCCUAUUUUCUUUUCAGUUGAAUUUCCUCAUCACUUUUUGUUUUUACAUAGUGUGUGCAUUUUCAUAAGCCUCUUGAAAAAAACAUUUUUUUUAAACAAGAUGGAAUCCAAGUAAAUAAAAUAGUAUAAAAUUAUUUGGCGCUUUUGAUGCUUUUCUUUUAUGUGUGACAUUUGCACCAGUCUCUUGCUUGAGCUUUUCUUUCCUAAGAUGCUUUGGGAAUAAAAGCACUUGUAGAAACACAUCGAAUGUCAUUUGUCUGUUGCAUCUCGUAGCACUGUGAGAGAGGCCUUCUGUGUGCCGAUAAUCUCAGUCAGUUGUAAAGCUACUCUUCAAAGAUGAUCUGUUGGGUAUAAGCAGGAGAAAUAAAAAAGGAAAUCCCAUAAAAGAAACAGCAGCAUCUAUCUGGUAAAACCCACUAGCCCAGGAGGGGGAAGAAUAAAAGACACACAGUCUAACUGUAGAAACUGCAGGAGAGCAUAUUCUGGGUAGGAUGUUAACUCCCUAGACAUCUGUUGGUGACAUCUACAGUCAGACAUGCAUCAUGGGAAGGAUCUGUAAAUUAUAUGGGGGACAGUUUAAUGACCUACAAAACAGCACAUCCACCCAGCACAGAUAGCAUCUUCAAAAGAAAGAAAGAAGCAAGAAAGCAAGAAAAUUAAUUUAGGUGGGAGAAGAGAGGGUGGCGAGGUGGAUGAGUGGCCAAAAGGGCUUCCACGAAGAACCCCCUUGGGAAUAAUAACCUUGAAGGCAAGAGUGGACCAAGUGAAGAGGGUAGUGCUGCUCUGGGCAUUUCAGGGAGGGUCAAGCAGGAGACAGGAGGAGGCUAGCACAACCUAGGGGAACAGAGGAGGAAACAGGCCUUUCAAAAAGGAAGAAAGUACAAAAGCAAACUGGAUUUUGAACAACAGAAGCAAGUUCUAUCUCCGAUUUCAUUUAAAAAGGAUAAGCAGGAGUAGUAACAAUCCUCGAUGGUCAACACUCAAUGCUUUCUUAAAAAUAGCCUCAGACAUCAGCUUUCAAGCUUUUAUUGUAUUGAAACCAUUUUCCAAAUGAAGCUGAUGCAGAGCUCUGAUAGAAUGUCAUCUCCGUGAGACCAGGGACUUUCGUCCUGCUGUUCAAUCUUGUAUCCCCAGGGUCUGUUGCCUAGUGGGCACUCAAUGAGCAUUUGUGAAAUGGAUGAGCAAAUGAAUGAGUAUGUAGUUGGGCUGAGAAGGAUCAUUACCUUUCCAACAGAUACCAGAGUUCCUUAGGGAAAAGACCUGAUCUUCGUGAAAUACCUUGAUAGGUCACUUGAGGAAGAAGGCAACUAAGGGACAAUUCAAGGCUUUGUAGAAGUAAUAAACUUCAGUUGAUGGCGGGGAUAUGGGUAGCACUGAGAGGGGAGGGAGAAAGAUGGAGAGGCCAAGGGCUUGUUAUUAACAGUCAUGACUAAUACUCUUGAAUUACAGGCUGUGCAGCACUAUGUGGAAACUUCUUACUAUUAUCCCCGGUUCUCCAGUAAAACUGUAGUCCAGAAAUCUCCCUUUAUGGGUGAGAAUGGGAAGCAUACCAAGAGGAAAGGGCUUGCAUUCUUUGUUUGGGUCAACAGCAAGAAGAUUAAGACACAACAAUAAGAAGCUCUAUGGCCCAGAUUGGCAAAUGCAGUAAAACCAAAGAAGGCGAUAGAAGGGACUAGAAAAAGGCCUCUAAGAAGUUGGGAGAAAUUUUUUUAAGUUUAUUUUGAGAGAGACAGAUGGUGCAAGUGGUGAAGGGCAGAGAGAGGAUCCCAAGCUGGCUCCACGCUGCCAGUGCAGAGCCCCAUGUGGGCUCAAAUCCACAAAGAAGCUGUGAGAUCAUGACCCGAGUCAAAACCAAGAGUUGGACACUCAACUGACUGAGCCACCCAGGCGCCCCAGUCAGUGAAGAAACUUGAAGGGGAGCUUGUAUUUCCUUCUCAUGGGAGGAUGGGUGUUGGGGCUGACCUUGUAUGGGUGUUAAAGGACAGGCAGAUAUUAGGAAGACACAGGAAGCAGCAGCAACAGAACUGCUGGGGAUGAGAAGUGCAGAAUUCUGCUCCCUCCACCUGUCCCUCCUCUAACUCUCCCCCACCUCCCUUUGAAACUUUCAAGAGCUGGGGCAAAGAAAAGAGGAGGUUCUAGAGGGUUAAGAAGUCUGAAAGGGAGAGGAGCUGAGGAAUAGAGCACAGAGGUAGGACCCAGGACCAUGAUUCAGUGGGGAUAUUCCUGAGACCUAUCCUCAAUUCUCCAAAUCAAGGAUGUGUUUCCUUAUCUAUACAACUGGGAUAACACAUCUACCCUCCAGGGUGGUUGAAAGGGUCUUACAUGUUUCUAUGAAGGGAGGGCUGCAAAACUGUUGAGACUCAGGGGAGGUCUAAACUGCUCCCUGGCUAAGACUCCUUCCUCCACCCCAGCCUCGAUCUGUGGAGCAUUGGAAUUCAUGCUUCAGGCAAAGUAACAAAGGCCUCUCUUCCCCUCCCCUCCUGGUCCAUUGGGGUCACUUGCAAACCGUCAAAGCAGCAAAUUUCAAAUCCUUAGCUACAAAACUGUACCUAAAACAACCAACUAGAAAAGUCCUUAACUACAAAGGGUCCACACUUGCCAGCAAGCUCUUGGAGAUGAUGUCCCAGAAUGGCACUCUUGUAAGGGGCCUCUUUUCUUUCUCCCCCACAUGGUACCUAUUUCCGGUCAGAGGCGGUCUGCAGUAGUUAAGGGCAGAAUAUUUUAAGGAAGUAUCUUCGGAUGAGCCUUGGAAGAAUGCCAGAAUCCUUUCCGCAUGAGAAGGGAUCCUGAAGAGAUGGGACAGGAGGCUGUUGUAAAGGGAGAAGUCUAUGGGGCCACCACCUCCUACCCUGAGGCAGCCCUCCCUCCUCUCUCUCCUGGUUCCUCCCGGUGUUCAGUCAGCAUUCAAGUGUGGCCUCCGCAUGCAUUGUUCACAGUUUCACCCGAGUGUGACAGGGAGCCAAUCCCUAAGCCCCGGUUUCCCAUAUCAGUGUUAAUCUUCUCAAACAAAUGCUUGCACCUCAGGCCGGUGACCCCCCAUUCCCUCUGUCUGGCAUAGAGCAGAAUAGCAUAGACCCUGGCUGCUUAGGGGGUGGUGGAAAUGCUCCUGGGGGAGGAAAAGAAGAGCGGGACCAGGCACACUCAGUGGGAUGGGGAGCUUAGGAAUAAUUGAGGAGAGGGUUGGGUGCUCUACUCCCAUUUCUUGGCACCCAGAAGGAAGGACCAAGAAGAAACUCUGGGCCAUUCACUCAGUCGCCCACUCAUUUGUUAAGUCCACUGCAGGUAUUAGACACACAAAAUUCAGAGAAAUCCUAUAGCGCCUAAGGAGCUCCCAGUUGAAAGGCAGAGGUUCUCCCAUCGCUGGAACACUGUCCUGAGAAGUGCCAAGUGCAAUUCAUUCACUCAUCCAUCACCUACCACGCAGCACUGUUCCAGGCUCUGGGAAGGUGUAUAGAAAGGUUGUUCCAGGAGCCCCUGGGAGCGUGGGGCAUCGAACUCCCCACCUCAGAGUGUCUCCCUGACUGCUUACUCUCGGUCCCUUUAUUUGGCAGUGUGGUCUUCCUCUCCACGGAGAAACUCCAGGAAAAUACAGCUGGGGGGAUGGGGGAAGCCUGGAAAGGAACCUGCCUGUGCAGUGGACUAAGAGAGCUCACCACUCCAGCCACACGGACCCUGAAGGGGAGUUCCCAACAGGAUACGGACAAGCAGGUGCCAUAUUCUUAUUCCAAGCUUCACGCGAGACCCGGGCAAGUUUGCCGUGCGUGUGGGAGGCAGUCAUGAGGGUGAAAACUAUAAUCGCACAUCUUAAGAAUAGAUUUACGGUUAAAAGAGGGCAUUUAAUUUCCGUUUUAAAAAUACUAUAGGUUGUGUUUUCCAAACUGGGUCUGAAGAACACUCCUAUCUUCAGCUUUUUUUUUUUUUAAGGGGUUCUAGGUUUUAUCUUAAUCUUUGAUUUGACCAUUAAACCAAAUCAAGCUACCUUUCUUUUCAGAACUGCUCAGGGCCUUGGCUACUGACCUAGCAGGCUGUGAAUUUUGAGGAAUUCAGAGAUUCUCAAACUUGCUUGUGUAGGACCCAUUGAACUUGGUGAAACUCUCGUGAUCAAAAGGAUCUAGAUUGUGGGGCACCUGGGGGGCUGAGUCGGUUGAAUGACCAACUCUUGAUUUCGACUCAGGUCAUGAUCCCAGGGUUGUGGGAUUGAGCCCUGCGUUGGACUCUGCACGGAGCAUGGAGCCUGCUCAAGCUUUUCUCUCUCCCCUGAUCCUCCCCCACUUGUAUUUGCUCUCAAAACAAAACAAAAAAAAAAGAGAUCAAAAAAUUAAAAAAAAAAUGUAUCAGUUGUGAAAUGUAGCUCUGAUGUCUCAGGAAGUUUGGGGUUCCAUAGUUAUAAUGAAAUGGCACGUGUCUCCUGAAUUGUCCUGGAAAGAAUUGUGAAUAAGGUGCUUAGCAGAGGUGCAAAACAAGACAACCUGGGCCUUUAGGGUACCUAGAAAGACAGUUACCUAAGGGCAGGGACGGGGUGACUUUUCUUCAUCUUUCUUUUGUAGUUGGCAAUAAUAUAAGACAAUUGAUUUCCUGCCUUUGCCCAGAAUCCACAUGUGGAUGACUGUUCAACCCUCUGCCAGAAGCUAUGUCUGACCUUCCUGCUCUGAUCCUUACACGGCUGAAGAAGGCCACAUAAGUGGCACAGCCAUUUAUGUGGAUCUCCUGUUGGAGGGAGCAGGGACAUGACCCAGGAUAGUUGCAAGAUGCUGCUUCUCUGGCCUGGAAGUAACCCUGGUGUGGUGAGAGCUCUGUGCUGACGGGGUCAAGGAUGGGGUUCUGGGCUGAGUCCUAGACCUCCUUGUUCACUGCUGGAAUGGCAAAGAAGUGACACAUUCCCAUCACGAAGAUACUCUAACAAUGGUGACUCCAUCUGCCACCUUGAUUUAUAGGUUUUAUAUAGGGAAUUUUACAUUUUAGAACAGAUAUGCCCCGGGAAGCCACGGAUACCGGCCUGUUUCACGGGAGUGACAGUUUAUGGAGUUUGAGCGACUCGCUAACCUCUCUAAGCCUUGGUUUUCUAUGAAGUGAAACUUUAAAAUGGAACUUUUCAUAACAUAUGAACAUGUAACUGAGCACUUAGGUUUUGUCACAGGUUAUCUUCUACAUCAUCUCAUUUCAUCUUUGCAAUGACCAUCUGAUAUAGUUCUUAUCGAUUGCUUCCAUCUUUCGGAGAAGGAAUGCAGAGAAGGAGAUUGCCUCUUGCCUGAGUUUCGACAGUGGCCAUAUAGUAAGUGACAGAUACAGGGUUUGAGGUCAGUUGUGUCUCACACUUUUGCUCAAGCUUGCUCCUUCCGCGGGUCCACAAAGAAAAGAAGUGUUUUAAAAGUUGACUUGGGGUCUUCUGAAGGAAAAUCUCUGAGGAGAGAGAGGUUUCUGCUGUAGUAGGUGAACCAGAGUUGAAUGCCCCAACGUAUCAUUUUGCUGGUCCUGCCCCCUGUGGAGGAGUAACUCAAUUAUCUGAGAAAUAAUUGCUGAUGAUUAUUGAUUAUCCAGGGCUUAGGCUUUGUUCAAAGCCCUUUCAGUGAGUAGGAACAUUUAAUUUUCUCAGCGACUCUGGAGUAGAUAUCCUUAUCCUAAUUUUAUAGGUAUGGAAACUGAGGCUGGGUGGUUUAAGGAAUUUGCCCCAGUCAGUUGCUCAGCUUAUCUCAGGGCAGAAUCUGAAUGGAGGCAUUGUUACUUCAGGGUCCUGCUCUCAACUGCCUUUCUUAUACCUCUGCUUCUCCUGGUCUCUUGCAUUAUUUAUUGAGCCCUGACAAUUUGCCUUGUGUUGUUGGAGAUGGGGGCCCGCAGGGCUGACAGUGAUAGAAGGAAGAUUGGCAGAAGGAAGUGGUAUCUGGGUCUCUCUUGUCAAAAGCUCGUCAUUCCAGAUACCCGACCAGGCCAGAGAUGCAGAGAGAGAAAGAGACCAUUAAGAGCCUGGGACAAGAAAGGAGGAGAUCUGCACUGCUCAGCCAGAUUUGAAGUUUACGGAGAGCCUUCCUUGUGCAGCCUCUUAAAGGAGGACAUCCAGAAGGGCACGAGGGGAGAAGAGGAGCAGGUUUACUCCCUACAACAGUGCAAGUGUUCAGGCUUGGCUCUGUCCUAACAUCACCAAGGAGCACUGCAAAAGUCCCCAUAAGGGGACACCUAUCAUAGGGCAAAACCAGUGCUGGGCUAUGCACUGCUCUAGAGGGCACCUUUCAUAUAGAUAUGUAGGGCAUGGUGAUUCAAGGGCUGCAAUGCACAUGCAGCCCAUUGUGAAGGAUGCUCUGGAGUUUUCCAAGUGUUCUAGUUUCUCGCUAGAAAGCAUGGGACCUGAACUGUGUAGAAUCUGUCCCCCCAGUUUCCCCCCAACCCAGGUCUUAAUCUUACUUGCUAGUGGGUCCCCAGGUUAAUGUCAGAACAAAUCAGUAGUGAAGGAAGGAAAAAUACGUGUGAUUUCUAGAAUUCUUUGUGAGCUGGAGAAUGGGUUGCAUCUCGGAUUACGGAGAAGAUCCAGUGUUACCAGAGGUGCAGACUCCAGUUGAAUGGGGGCAGUCCGUGAAAGCACUCCACCCAUUUGCUCAACCCUUAGUUAUUCACUCAGUGAACAUUUAUUGACAUCUUCUAAGGGUUGGUGUGUUAGGCACUGGACAGGACGAUAAAGAGGUUGUAGUUUAUGUUCUCAAUAACAGAAGAAAAAGUGGAAACCAAUUCUGUUGAGUAGAACGAGACCCGCAACAGUAGACAAACGUACAAACUCCAGUGUGGACACCAAGGAGGGGGAGAGGAGGGUAGGGAGUAGAAGGAAGAUGGGCGAGAACAUUCUAGCAGAGGGAGUCCAUUAAGGGGAGCCCAAGUGAAGUAUCCAUAUGGUGGAUUCUAAACAAAUCUACCUUGGUGGUUUCCAUUAUAUACAGGCUGAUGCCCAAAUAUGAAAUAAGAAUGCCUAUGGUAGGGCUUUGUAAAUGGGAAAACAGCUACUUUUCUAGUUUUAAGUGUUAGAGGACUAUUUCUGGGCUGUGCGGAGGUAAAGGUCCCUUUCUGGUAGACAGCAGUUACAAGCGGCUCAGGGUUGGUGGUCAGCAAAGGUGUCAGGAAUCCUCAAAGAUCUCAAUUGACAAAUUCCUGAAAAGUUAGUCGUGACCCAACAAGGACCACUUUCCGUUAUUAAGCAACGUGCUAAAUGCUUUACGUAGGUUAUCUCUGGCCCUCACACAAAGCCAAGGAGGCUUUCUUCACAGAGGAGGAAAUGGAGGCUGCUGGAAAUAACUGAUUUGCUGGAAUUGCACAGGUAGGAAGAGCCAAAACCAAAACUCAGACUAUGGGGGUCUGACCCCAGUGGGACCCAUGUCCCCUAAGAGGGUCAGUUUUACUUCCCUACAGGUAAAAUUCUGAGUAAGCUGGGAACAAGUUUGGUCAGAGAACAAUGGUACUACAGGGUUAUUUGUCCUUUUCCUAUCAGUUCAGAGGCAAUGCAAUGUGAACAGUGCUGUCUUUUGUUUAUGGGGUGAUUAAAAUGCUUUGUUGUUUUCCCUAUUUUCCAAAAUGGCUAACACGUUUACUCUACCAAUAGAGAGUAGUAAACUUCACAUGAAAAAGAAAACACCCCUAUGAUAGGGUAUUUUUUUUUAAUGUUUAUUUUUGAGAGACAGAGCAUGUGAGCAAGAAGGGGAGGAGCAGAGACAGAAGGGGACAGAGGAUCCAAUGCAGGCUCUGUGUUGUCAGCAGAGAGCCAGAUGCGGGGUUCACACCCACAAACUGAACCGUGAGAUCAUGACCUGAGCUGAAGCUGGGUAAUUAACCGACAGCCAUUCAGGCACCCCAACUUAGAAGAUGAAGGUCAGAAUUAAAAUACUUUAAGUUUCUGAAAAUGAAACUGAGAAUGACUAGUUAAUGGCAUUUCGCUACCCAGAAGCCAAAGAUCUCUAGUGUAAUAAAAAGGUGUCCCUCCCUCUGCCCCAACCUUAAAAAGUUACCAAUUUCCCCUUUAAUUCUCUCCAUGAGAAAGCGAUCUUUUGAACGGGGACUCUGGGAGUUUGUAAUUACUAAGAUGACGAAGUUCCAGUUACUGUUUCUGGUGACAUCCCAGGCAGUAGGCAUAGGAUUCAUUCAUCUUUUGGGGAGCUCUCAGGGGUUUUCUCUAACACUCACUCACUACCCACCUUGGGGGAGGGGGCAUUGUGGAGGUAUUAAAAGCAAAGUUUUAUUUUUUAUUUAUUUUUUAAGGAACGGCUGUUCUUUUUCGGUUUUUAUUUUUGAGAGAAAGAGAGCCCAAGUGAGAGAGGAACAGAGGACCGAAAGCAGACUCUGUACUGACAGUAGAGAGCCCGACGUGGGGCUUGAACCCACAAACCAGGAGAUCAUGAUCUGAGCGUAAGUCGGAUGCUUAACUGACUCAGCCACCCAGGUGCCCCUAAAAGCAAAAUUUCAUUAAAAAAAAGUUAAAGGUAUCUUAAUCCUUCCAAGGUAGUGGAAUUUCUAGUAAGUAUUUCUAGUAAGUAUCCACAUGCAUUGGUUUUCUCACGCUGCUAUAACAAAUUAUCACAAAGUUAUUGACUUAAAGUAACACAAGUCUAUGAUUUUACAGUUUGGGAGGUCAGAAAUCUAGGAUGGGGUCUUCCUGGGCUGACAUCAAGGUGUCCGUAUGGCUGUGAUUCUUUCUAGAGAUUCUAAGAGAAAAUCUAUUCUUAACUUCCCCAGUUCAAGGCCAUGCACAUUCCUUGGCUCAUGUCCGCUGCCCUCUGUCUUUGAGGCCAGCAACAUUGUAUCUCUCCAACCAUUCUUCCAUGGUCACACCUCCCUCUGACUCUUCUUGUCCUUUCUAGGGCACUUGUGAUUAUAUUGGGACCACCCAGAUGAUCUGGGGGUGAUUGUGCCAUCUCAACGCCCUUAGUCAUAUCUGCAAAGUCCCUUUUGCCAUGUAAGGUAACAUUCACAAGUUCUUGGGAUUAAGACACGAAUGACUUUGAGGAACCAUUAUCGUGCCUACCACGUUCUGUGUGUGGGGGGGGGGCACGCGGGUGAGGAAAUUGGGAAGACAAAUAAUGCAAAACAGGGACAGAAACCAUUGACUUAUUCUCAGCACUCAGCUUGCCUUACAAGGUGGUUCUUGAGAAUCUUUCUGAUGGGCCCCGUCUUAAUUAUUCAUACCCAGAUUCUAGGAGCUGAGGGCCCCUGCCAGGGUCAUAACAGAUGCCUUGUCUGUGGUGAUAUAGAUCCAAUGGGUACACCCAUUUUAGGAAAAGAGGCCAUGGGAAAGGGAACCAUCAUUCCUUAAGGGCUUGCUCUGUGCCAGGUUAUUUUAAUGUAUUAUUUUAUUCAAUUAUCAUGACAAACUGAUGAAUUGGGCACUUUUGCCCUCCUUUUACAGACGAGGAAAAGAAAGUCAAAGACGUGAAGUAAUCUGGACAAGUUAAAAACAGCAAGUGGCAGAGCUGGGGUUCAAACUCCACUCAGUCUGUUUUAAAAUCAGCUUUCUUUCCCUGUUUAUAUACAUGCUGGUUCCCAGAGGCCAAAGGCACACCGCUAGUUUAAGGUGGGAGCUUAAUUCUGACACCGUAGCUUCUCUGGCUCGGAUGUAGUAACGCAUCUCACAUGAUUAGACGGCUUUGGACCGCUGAUGUAGAAGCGCACAGGCUCCGGGCGCCUGGGUGGCUCAGUCGGUUGAGUGUCGGACUUCAGCUCAGGUCAUGAUCUCACAGUUCGUGGGUUUGAGCCCCGUGCCGGGCUCGCUAUCAGCCCGUCAGUGCAGAGCCGUCUUCGGAUCCUCUGUUCACCUCUUGCUCUGUCCCUUCCCCGUUUGCACGUUCUCGCUCAAAAAUAAACAUUAAAAAAAUAAAGUAUGCCGGGCUCUUCAACUUGGCUAACAACUGUAAAGAGGUAGAUUUGCGUCUCAGGAGCUUAAAAUUUCUAAAAGGCUAUAGGAGUGUUUCUUCUAUUUUUGGAGUCUGUUUAUAAAUCUCUAAGCUUUAAAAAAAAAUGUUUAACCAUACGGUGUAUUUGUUACUAACUGCAGUUAGGAUCCAAUCAGUCUGAUCGGGUACAGGACAGACCAAAAGACACGGGAGAGUUUCUAGGUUUUGGGUAGAAGCUCAUACAAUAUGCCUCAGAAGACCUGCAACCGGUUUUAAAACCAGGUUGAUAGAGCUUCUAGUUUAUACUUGCUCGAAGUGCUAAAUCCUCCGAUAAUCUAAGAUGAUCAGGCUUUUGGUGACCAAAUGCAAAUAGAAGUAUCUUUUUAUUACACAAAGAGAAUAAGAAUAUUGACUGUACACACUCCUGCACCUUAGGGAAGUGUGUGUGUGUGUGUGUGUGUGUGUGUGUGUGUGUGUGUGUGUUAGGGUUUUCACGUAUUUUUUUCUUUUCAGUUUCCUUUCUUCCUUUGAGAGCCAUUUCAUGCUCAGUGGGCAUGAUAGAAGCAAAUAAAAAUAAAAAGCCACAAGCUUGUUUGGAAUUCAUUAACUCCAAAGGUUGCCUUUACUACCUGGGUAAGGUAGAGGAAUCCUCCCUGGGGCCAUCCAAAAGCCCUCACCGAAUGCACGGCUCUAGAGAAUCGGAGCUGAGUCUCUCUCUCUCCUGCACACAAGAACUUCACAACUGUACUUGGAACACCACAGGAUUUAUCAUGCUCGGUGACAGGGGCACCUGGGUGGCUCAGUAGGUUAAGCAUCAACUUUGGCUCAGGUCAUGAUCUCACAGCCCAGGAGUUUGAGCCCCACAUCAGGCUCUGUGUUGACAGCUCGGAGCUGGAGCCUGCUUUGGAUUCUGCGUCUCUGUUUCUAUGCCCCUCACCCUCUCAUGCUCUGCUUCUCUUUCAAAAAUAAUUUUUUUUUUAUAACACCUGGUGACAGAGCCUGUAAGGGUGGGAAAGCGAGGAAGAGAAUGCCUCGGGUGAGCCAAGAAGCCAAAAGGUGAAGGCUGCGCACGAGACACAGCAUGGAAGGUGUAAUACUUAGUAAUUUUUAUUCUCUCUCCCUCACCGACUAAGUACAGGUGCAGAUACCCCACUUCCUGGGAUGGUUGGCAAAGGCUUGGCAGGAGUCUGCCUUCGCCGUGUAGCCUUUGAAGUUCUUGAGAAUGUACCCGAGAAGUUUAGCAGGUAGAACAUACCCGAGUAGAGUUGAUCACAAAAGGAAGACUCCCAUUCUAAACCAUUUUGCCAAGUCCUUUGUCCUGCAUUUGUCCACCUUCUUUCAUCAUAAAGUUAGCCAACAGUUGGAGCUCCAGCUCAACCUGCUUCCCAAAAUACAAGAACAGUGUGACAGAUUAAAGAUGGCCACAACCUCUUUGACAUGCUUUCUAUUCCUUCUGACCUGAGCAGGCCCUGUGAUUGCUUUGACCAAUCAACUAUGGCAAAACUGACCUCAGGUCAGUUUCAAGGACCAGGUCUUAAGAUACUAGCAGCUUCUAGUUGCCAUCUCUUGGUACUCAGUCACCAUGCUGUGAGGAAAUCCAAGCAGCCCCUUAAAGAGCCUCACACGGAAAAGAACAGAGGCCCUUGCCCGAGAGCCCCCACUGAGCUCCCAGCCAAUAGGCAGGACCAACUAAAUGGCCAUGUGAGUGAGCCACCUUCGUGAAGCCUCCAGCCUCAAAUAAGCUGCCCCCACGGAUGCUGUGUAGAUCGGACAGGAGGGCUCUGCUCCGAGCUCUUCCCAGAUUGCAUAUUCAUGAGAAAAAUAAAGAACUACUGAUCGAAGCCACCGUUUUUGAUUUUAAGAAAAUUUGUUUUUAAGAGACUGCACGAGCAGAGAGAGGGCAGAGAGAGAAUCCCAAGCAGGCUCUGCACUGUCAGCACAGAGCCCGAAGCAGGGUUUGAUCUCACAAAUCCUGAGAUCUUGACCUGAGCCCGAGUCAAGAGUCAGAUGCUUAACCAACUGAGCCACCCAGGUGCCCUAAGCCACUGUUUAAAGGACGGUCAUUGGGGGCACCUGGGUGGCUCACUCAGUUAAGUGUCUGACUCUGGCUCAGGUCAUGAUCUCAUGGUUCAGGAGUUGGAGCCCCUCAUUGGGCACUGCGCUGGCGGUAUGGAGCCUGCAUAGGAUUCUUUCUCUCUCCUCUCUGUGUCCCUCCUCCACUUGUGCGCUCUCUCUCAAAAGAAGUUAAUAAACUUAAAAAAAAAAAAAAAGGACGGUCAUUGAUAGUGGUUUGUUGUACAGCAAUGGGUAACAACUAAGGAGACUGGGCUAAGUGAGGGAUAGAAACGCUAUUCUUUAAUGCCCCAUCCCCCACCCCAUGACAGACAUUAAUGAUCAGUCACCAAAUGUUUUGCCUCACUAAAGCCCAGAAACCUCAUCAGCAGUACUCCCAUCAGUCAUUACCAAUUCGUCGGCGAGGACUGGGCUGAGUGGUGAGUGGCCGAGAAGUCUGGUAGGAUAUUAAGUGUGUUAAGCCCUGAACUUGGGAGUUCUUUUGGUCCCUUUCCAUUCUUAGUACUAUCCCCUCGUCCACGAGCCUGCUUAGAGCCUCAUUCCAUCAAGAAGCCACAAGUUGCCACUUUUGCCUGUUUCAUGGCUCGCUCGGUGGGGGUCACUAUCGACUGAGUCCAGGUGCCCCCGGAGUCCAGGAUGAAUGCAUUUGCCAUUCGCUUCCAUUCACCAGCUGAAACGGACCACUGGAUGUUUGAGGGGUUAUGCCCAAGUGACCCUACCUAUUGUCCGUAUGUCGUCUAGGGACAAUCUCCACAGUACCUCACAGGGUACCGGACACGCUGGUGUGGAACCUAUUUUGCCCAAUGGAUGUGGCCAAGGGAUGGGGGUCAGUUCUCUUCAUCGACUCCCACUCCCCAGCUCUUAGGACAGAGCCGGGUGCACAAUGGACGCUACACAAAUGCUCAUUACGUUGAUUUUGAUGGCAUUAUUUCCAAAAUAGUUGCUUGAUGAACAAGUGGAAUCUCUCCCCCUAAAAAAUAUCAACUCCAAACAGAAGCAUAAUAGAGCCAGAACUCAAAGCAAAAUUAUUCACAAAUUCCAAGUGCCUCAAUCCACGGGUUUUAAUGAAAGUCAUUCUGCAGUUGAGAAUGUUGUAGUAAUUACAGGCAAGCUAAUGUCUCCGCCAUAUGGUUUGAAAGCAGGUCUGAAUUUUGAAAGCCACGAUCAGCAGUUUUAUUUUCUGCUGCCGCUUCUCUGUGCCCCACCCCCUGCCUGCCUUUGUCUCUCUCUUUUUUGCUCUUAUCUCUUUCUUUCAACCUCAUAUUCCCUCUGUCCCACACGAUUCUCCCUCCUUGGUCUCCCUCUUCAAACCCAAGUCAUAUCUUUAAAAGCCUUUGAUAGGAAACCUCCAGUCAUCCUGAGAAGUAAUUGAGUGCCCAGAAUGGGUCAUGACAUAGCAUUGCCUGUGCUGACCCACUUGCCGAGAAAGAGAACCAAGGAUGUUCUGACCUCUUGUGUUCUGACCGUGUCACUCCGUCCCUCAAGUGGGGUUGAAUGAUUGAAGGGAAAAAAGACUCCGAUUAACCUCUCUCCGCUAUUGAAUGAUCUCAGUGCAGUGGUCCUUGACCCUGGCUGCUCAGAGAAUCACCUGAGGAGCUAUUCAGAGUACAGAUGCCUAGACCCCACUUCUUGAGAGAGUAGAUUCUCAAUUGAUUGGUUCGGAAUAGAGUCCAGACUGUCAGACUAGCCGGAAUCUCCCCCAGAGGAUUCCAACACAGAGCCAGAGUUGAGAACCCUGCCCUAGAAACAGACUUGGACAGACAGCAGUGGGAUCCAGUCUUGCUUUUUUGUCUACCGGUUAUACUCAGAAGGGAGACGAUACAAGCCAUCAUUGCCGAAGUAAGGCCAAAUUAAAAGGCAUCCACUUACUUAGAUGUAGCUAUUUAAUAGCUAUACAUCUGUUUGACUCAAAACUCAUUCACAAGUGAUUUGAUAACAUUUUUUUUAAUGCUUAUUUUUGAGAGAGAGACAGUGUGAGGGGGGGAGGAGCAGAGAGAGAGAGAGGGAGACACAGAAUCAGAAGCAGGCUCCAGGCUCUGAGCUGUCAGCACAGAGCCCGACAGGGGGCUCAAACUCACGGACCCCUUAGCUGAAGUCAGACGCUUACCGACUGAGCCACCCAGGCGCCCGAUUUGAGAACGUUUUAUAAAAAAACUCCUUCAAGUGAGCGGAGCUGGAGUUCAUAGCUUUAUUUUGCAAAUGGGACCUUAGGUACUAAGAGCAUAUAUAGUAGGCAUGCCCUCUCUCAGGUCAGGGCUCUUUCUGGGCUGUGGCACACUCUUCCCUCUGCCUGCCUCUAGGAUAAUUACCGGAGUGGUGCCUACCCGUCUAAAGGUCUAAGGGUCACGACUUUCCUCUAGCCGGCCCUAAAAAUCUUGCUAUACGGAUCAUUGCCUUGGGAUACACUACAAGAGUGGUUGCUUUUUGUCUCCAAUGCCACGGUUACUCUUCCCUCAGCAAAUUAGUUGAUAAGAUUAGCUAAUGAUCCCAUUGGAAGGUCAGAGAGCCUUGAGGCAACAAUGAAAGGAGAGAUGUCAGGAGCUCAUUGGGGAAGGACCAGCUGCUUAGUCAGGCACAACAGAAGGCUGAUGGAGCCUGGAGCCAGAAGCGGCUCUAGAGUGUGAACAUUUGGAAUGGGGUCUCAUGUUUGGGAGGCGUCCUUGCCGAUUUAGGACUAGAUGUUGAGAGGCAGCUAGGGAUAUAGAAGGAGGAAAUAACUACCAUUUGGUAGUUAAAAAGAGAUCGGUUCAACUCAACCAAACCCGAGUUUUUUUGUUUUUGUUUUUGCCAUCUGCCUUCUUGGGCCUCAAUAUCUUUAUCUGUAAAGGGAAAGGUAAUGCCACCUUUGCUGGAUGUCUCCCAAUGUUCCGGGAAUGAAGUGAGAUUAUAUAUGUGUGUACUUGGGGGGAAAAAAAAUCAGGGUGUUCUGCUUGUUAGGCAUUUUUGUGGGGAGAGAAGAUGGUGUGUUAGAAAGAUGUGUGAACUAGCUGUCAGAAGCCUGGCAUCAUGUCCCCCCCCUCGAUCUCUUGCUAGUCAUUAGACGACAGAAUGAUCAACUGCUUCCUUUUCUGGAAGAUGGAAUAAUGGUUGUAGCACGAUCCUGAGAGGGGUGAAACCCCAACGGAGAAAUCUGUAGGAAAGUGCAAACUGAAUUACUACCUAAAUGAGUAUUAGAAUUAUAACCACUAGGCCUUUCUAGACUCACCCUUUUGACUGAAUGUUGCCUUAUUUGUGGACUUGGUGCUCUUCAAAAUGACUUUUAAAAUGAUCUUAUUGUCGGGGCACCUGGGUGGCUGAGUCGGUUGAGCGUUGGACUCCUGAUUUCAGUUCAGGACGUGAUCGCGGGGUCGUGGGACUGCCCCACAAUGGGGGGCACUGACAGUACAGAGCCUGCUUGGGAUUCUCUCUCCCUCUGCCCUUCCCCCCCUUAUGCGCUCUCGCUCUCCAAAGUGAAAUUAAAAAAAAAAUUAUCUUAAUGUUCAUAGCAGUCUACUUUUACAAAGUGAACAUGAGAUCUUGCAGUCUUUGAGGGUGGCUUCCUGUUAUCUGUUCCAUCCCAAAUAAUUUGUCUAAAGCUAUUCAUGCCAAGGUCAUUCUCUUUGCCAAUGGUUGAAUCUAAGAAUGGGCAGCUGAUCAAAGUCCUGGGCAGUGAAGCACGUGGGGAAGUCCACGAGGGCUCCUGGGAAAGAUAUCCUUGCUGCCCGGAGACAGAGUAUAACCCCAUUCUACCUCUGGGCACUGUGACGCAUGGCUGGGAUGCUUGGGACCACAGCAGCGUCCUGACAUUAGGUGGGAAGAUGCCUUAUAGUACAACUGAUACACUGUGGGUAGCAGAGGGAAGACAGCAAGAACGUAAGAGUCUGAGAGUCAUUGAGUUGGGACCAUCCCUGGAGCCAUCCUACCUCUAGACCUUUAAUUUAAAAAAAUACAUUUUUUUGGUAUAUACAUUUUUUUGGUUUGAGAAGGUUUUAAAAAUUGCUGUGGCCCAAGGUUUAACUGAUCAACCUUAUAGUUGUAAUAAUUGUAAUAAUGUAAUAUUACAUUGAAUCUUGGUAGCUUACUUUUCCUUCAGUAUUUUCUCUUUGUGAAAAAUAACUCAUCUUCUCUAUUAUAAAAAUGCUGGUUGUUAACGACUGUAGAGUUGGCAAAUCUGGAAAUAUUUAAUGAAUAUAAAUCCUAACAGCUUUCCAUCAGAGAAAGCCUCCGCUAACAUUUUGAUCAAUUUCUCCUUGUUGUUUACAUUAACCUAUUUAAGUUGCUGGAAAAGAUUGGAGAGGGGAGGAGGAAACUCAUAACAGGAUUUACUGGACCCAUGUCCUUCCUCUAGAAGGGAUACUGAAAGAGUAAGGGUGGGGGGUAAUCUGGGAAACCUUAUUGGGAGGAAAUACCAAAGAGUGUAAGAGGUUUGGGAAGGGAGGGAAGGAGAGAGGAAAUUCUCAGACAAAAUGCCACCUUCAAGAUUUUCCCAAAAGUUGGUGGUACCCCUCUCUCUGGCUUUCCUGGCUAUGUUCAAGAAGAAGGGUCUUUCCUUUUCCACUAUUUUUUCCUUCCCUGUGGGCUAAGCCCAGCAGAGACUAACCCCGACCCCUCUGUCUGGAGCAGGCGAACACUGGAGCCAGCUGGCGCCUUGCAUAUUUUGAGCAGUUCAUCCAGAUGCAUCUUAGUGAUCUCAUUAAUCGAGGUGAGAGCUGUGCUUCCAGGAAUCAGGGCACAAAGCUGAAACGAAUGCUCAGAAUUUAGAGAAAGGCAAGGAUCCUAAGACUUGAUCUAUGGCAGAAGUUUCAAACUGAUGGAGUCUGAGUUGUGAGUGACCCAUACAUGCAUUUUAUUUAGGCUGCAUGGUAUUGGAAAGUUUGGAGAUUUUACAUGUACACCCAGAUUUCAGGUUUUUAAGUAUGAAGAUAUGGCAACGUUGAUUCAACAUAGGAAGCCAUUAGCUAAAGGUGACUUGGCUUCUCCUUUAUCCAAGACCUAUACUUGUGUGUUUGGCACACUCACAUGGGAUGCACAUAGGUACACUAUUUGCAUGGCCAGACUGGACCCUGCAGGGGGUGGGGGGGGUUGGAGUUUUCAUUCUUCAAGAUUUCAUGCCUGGGUGCUAGAGAGGUUUCUCCUCACUGGACAGAUUUGAUCAAGUGGUGAUGGCUCCCAAAGGGCCAUGUUGGAAAGAUUCUGUGGUGCAUUAGAAAUGUAACGGCUAUUGAUUGGUCAUGUCUGCUCUGGGCAUCAGGUGGGGGCUCGUUGUCACCUGUGGCCCAAACGUCAACUACCGAACAUUUGAGCAGUGGGCCAGGUUACCUGUGUCUAAUUCUGAUUCCAUCACUUCCUGGCCAAAGGGGAAGGAUAGAUUUUUACCAGUUUCUGGUUUUCUCACCUGGAGAAAGGGGUUAGCAAUCCUUUCUCCAUCUACAUUAUAGGUUUGCUAGGAAAAUUACAUAGGAUACUAUGCAUCGAAGGGCUGGGAGAACCGUAACAAGUAUCGAUAUUGCUAUUCUCUCAUACUGAUCUGGCUCAAAAUCUUUCCAGGAGUGUGCUCCUGAUUCAGCAAAAUUUGGAAAUGGGCCUUUACCCAAAACCACUUAUAAAUGUAACUUUUUUUAGUUUGAGUCACUCAGGAAAUGCUGUAAUACACAUUUUCUUUUGUUCAAAUGUAGAACUGAGGGGGGUGGGCAGGGAUAUAUAUAGAUGAGCCUCGAUCUAUGUAAGGCCUAUUUCCUGAUUCCGAGGGCUCGGUGUUGGGAGUCCGCUCAGGUGCUGUAACAACCCCCUCUUCACUUCCCAAUAGAUAUAAUCACAAUAAUAUAAUAGCAUAUAUUUUCUCAGUGCUUACUAGCAGUGACAACCCUUCAGAUGGAUCAGCUCAUUUAACUGUUACGAUAAACCUAGAAGGUGGUUAUUGUCCCAGAUUACAGACUGGGAAAUGGAGGCUUAGGAAAUUUAGGGAACCUGUUCCUAGUUCAUGGCUGUAAAAUGGCAGAGCUAAGAUACUUAUAGCUGAUGUGUAUUGUGCACUCACUUUGUGUUGACACUAAGCUAAGUAUUGACAUGCACUUGGCGUGAAAUAACUCGAUUCUCAUGACUACAGUAGGAGGUACUGUUAUUCCUGUUUUACAGAUGAAGAAACUAAGGUAGAUACUUAUUUGUGGAUUUACCCUCUGAGAAAACAGAGGCUCAGAGAAGUUACAUCAACUUGUCCAAGCUCACACAGCUUGUAGAACUCCAAGGCAGACAGGCGGACUCCAGGGUUUACAACGCUGUUGUCUUCACUUUGAACACGGGACUGUUGGAUCGGAGCCUUUGCUCUGUCCACUAUGCGCUCUGGCCUGGGCGGACUGUGGCUGCCCAUCGAACAGCUUCUAGGAAGAGAGGAAGAGAGACCAGGAGCAGGAAGUAACAUGGGCAGAUCUCCGGAGGAAACGACUGUUUACAGGAUCCUUUCUGGUUUAUAAAGGCUCUUCAGGAGCUCUGCCAUGUAGGUGCCUCAGAAAAAUAGAUGCCAGAAAUAGUUGCACGUAGGAUGGCAGUUAGGGAGUUUGUUCCAGAUAAGAGGGGAAGUUCUGGGAGGCAGAGCCAGAGAAGUGGUCUUUCCUUUUUGGGAUUUGUCUUCCAUACCUAUUUGGGCCCGGAGAUAAGAUCGAAACGUCCUUGACCUCUAAGGUCCAAACUGUGGACGGGUGGAAAGUCCCACAAUGGUCCAUGGCAUUCACCACACUGCAGCCACUUCCCCCCAAAAAGUAGCCGUUUAGGACGAUCCAUUCCAGCUCAGGAAUCAGAAACGGAGUCUCAGAGCGGUUGAGUUUAUCAAGAACGUGCAUCUAAUUGAUGUGAGAUCUGGGUCUAGAAUCCAGAGUUUCUGACAUCCAUUCUGGUGUUCAUUGCUUCAUAUGGUUUAGGUCUAAUCAAGUAGUAUCUCUUGAGUGCUCACCCCGUGCCUGCAUUAUCCGAGCACUUUGCAUGUAGUAACUCGAUUCUCACGGUAGGAGGUACUGUUAUUCCCAUUUUAUAAGGCAAGGAAACUAAGGCUCACAGAGAUUGGAAAGUUUGCACAGGAAGGGAGUUUAGCUUCAAGCCCAUGCUCUUAACCGUUAUGCUACGCAGCCUCUUGGUUUUUGUGACCCUCACCUGAGAAGUCCCUAACUGGAACACAGUUGAAGUAUGGAGUGAGGCAAGAGAGCCGAGACUGACCGUACAGUCUUAGAGCUCCUGAUCAAUGUCUGCAGCUGCCGAAGUGAGAAAGAUACCACCCUGGGCUUUGCUCGGAAAGAAAAUGAUCCGUCGAAUCUCCGGUAGGUGAAUCGGUCAGUAAAUGCUCUCACCUAGGGUGUAUACCCGUAGAAAUGCCUGGAUUUUCAGGCCACUGCUGAAAAAUACCUUCAAUACAGAAAUCUAUGAAGAUUUAAUGGGAUAAUAGAUCUGAAAGUCAGUUGAAGUACUUAGCAGAAGAUGCUAUUUCAGUUCAAGAUAUAAAUGGUCUCAGAUGUUUUCCUGUGAAAGGAAUCUCAGUUUAUAAUUACGCAGCACACUGCGUUACGGUCAUUUGGUGCAGAAAAACGGUACCAGGAAGGUGAGUUCUCUGGAAGUGGACAGGGAUCCUGGUGCUGCCCUCCCCUUUCAAAGGCCGAGCGGGAGCAGAUUUCACGCAGAGGCUGUGUUUGGGGGGUGGCACGUGUAGAUGGGGCUGAUGUGAAUGCUUGGAAACCCCACGGGUUCUCCUGCUGGGGCGUGUGGUCGGAGGGGUGCCUGGGACUGGCGUGCCUGGUGGUGCGGAUGAUACAACUGAGGCUGAGGGGCCAGCACAGGCCAAGACUUGGGCACUGUUCCCCCCCUGCCAGUGUUCUUGAACUUCAGGAUUGAAGUUCUCUCUCUUCCUGAGGGAGAUCUGCAUUCUGUUUCCUUAUGGGUAACCCUUCCUUACUGGAGCCUUCCUGUUAAAUUCGGUCGACGUAACUGACUGAGAUAGGUUUAUUUUAUUAUUUCCUGAGCCCAGCACAUGUGCUGAAUCGUUCAUCAAGUUAAAAAUGAACUCUUUCUUCCUGACUGAAUUUUUUACACGUUUAUAGGGUGGUUUGCUUUAAGGAACGCCAAUAGGAGUAAUUCCAAAAUUGCAAAAACAGGUACUUAAGGGGUAAAUUAUUUGUUUUACAGAAAGAGCGAUCUCCGAGUUAAAGGGCAUGCGUUCAAGCUGUGCGAUGAAAAUUGUUUGCUUUACAAAAGUUUGGUAUGUGUACGCUUUGCAUUGUGGGUAUUCAGUAAAUAUUUUGAUGAUGUUGUAACUCCAUCUUGGACACAGGACCAGCGACAUGCAUAGUAAGUGCUCAAGAAAUAUUUGUUGAAUGAAUCUCCAAGAGCCAGACCCGUUUUUCCAGCUAUUAAUUGGACAGCUGUCUCGGUAUCCUGCGGCAAUCUCAAAAAUGACAUACACAUGUGACCUAAUUGCUUUCCCUUAAAUACACGACCUCCUUCUCUGUGGGCCGUGUAUGCAGUGAGUGUCCAGGGAAACGAGACAACCUUUGAAUUCUGGCUUCCUCGAUUACUAAUCUGUGAUCUUAGGAUGUUUACCAGGAGACUUUUGUUGCCUUUUUCGCAUCCAUCAAGUGGGUAUGGUAGUGCCUUACAGGGUUGUUGGGCAAAUAAAAUUCAAAUGGUUAGUGUGGAUCUGGCACUGAAUACUAUACAGUAGAUGUUUAUUAUUUCCUAUUUUUCUUUUUUAUUUUUUUUUUAUUUUUUUUUAAAUUUUUUUUUUUCAACGUUUAUUUAUUUUGGGGACAGAGAGAGACAGAGCAUGAGCGGGGGAGGGGCAGAGAGAGAGGGAGACACAGAAUCGGAAACAGGCUCCAGGCUCCGAGCCAUCAGCCCAGAGCCCGACGCGGGGCUCGAACUCACGGACCGCGAGAUCGUGACCUGGCUGAAGUCGGACGCUUAGCCGACUGCGCCACCCAGGCGCCCCAAUUAUUUCCUAUUUUAACAAAGUUCCUAACCCGGUGCUUGGCUGUCAAGCUUACCACCUCCUCCUCUCCAAAUCCAAUGGGACUUCAUCUCUCCCUGCUUUGGUUUCCCCCAUCACUGCCCAAGUUCAAGUGCUCCUUGUUGCCAAAUCUUGAUCCUUUUUCCUAUUCGACAUAGCCUAUGAAGACCGGUGUGUUCUUCCUCAGCUGAUUAUUACCCUCUCUAGUACUUAGGGGUCCACCUUCCUUAGCACAGCAAUCCCAGUCUCUGAUGAACUUGCUUUGGUCUUAAGUGUUUGUUUUGUGUGUGUGUGUGCGCGAGAGUGAGUGCAAGCGAGAGAACGCAUGCAUGUGUGCAGGGGAGGAGCAGAGACGGAGAGGUUAAGAGAAUCCCAAGCAGAUUCCAAGCUCUCAGCUCAGAGCCUGAUACGGGGGGGCGGGGCGUUGAUUCCAUGAACCUUGAGAUCAUGACCUGAACCAAAAGUCAAGAGUCAGAUGCUCACUGACUGAGCCACCCAGGCACCCCUGACGAACUGGAUUGUGGCUCCAGACCCACAUCCCAGCCAGUCUCCAGCCAUCCCUGGCCCUUCCCAGUCUCCAUACUCUGACCACAUCGGACUCCUGACUGCUUCCAGAGAAUACCACGCUUCCACUCCUCUUAGAUGGUUACCUCUCUCUGGGAUUCUCUUACCUUUCUUAUUUCACCAAUAUCAUCUAGGUGGAGUUUCCCCUGAAACCUUUGUAGUCCUACAAAAAAAUCAUUGCUCCUUCAUGUGGACUUGAUAACCUGAUCAUUUUGCCUCUCCCCACCUUCCUUACUUCCUUCAUUAGAUAGGAGCUCCUUGGGUGCGGGAACCAGGCACCCCGGGAUCUUUCUAUAGCCAUUGUGGUGUUACUAGGGCCUAUUUUUUCUAUCUUCCUAUUAUAAAAUUAAAAUAUUCUCAUGGCCAAAGUGGACUAGGUGAAAAUUCCCCGCAACCUCCCCACCCCACCGGGUUUGUGCCAAGGUUUAUGGACAACGUUCCAGACAUUUGCCUUGCAAACAUGAACACAGCACAUGUUUUGAAGUGGAACAGGAGUGAACAAUCACGAUGACACUAUCAAAAAUAGAUGAUUCUGUUUUUGUAUUACAGAGGGCGACUUGUGCGAUGUUUAAUGGGCUUUCGAGUAAAUCGCGUUUCUCGGUUUUUAAAAAUAUAUAGAAGAGGCUGGCUUUUGUGAAGCAACAAUACUGUUAUUUGGUAAUACCUUUUGUUUUUAUAGGAUGCCUCCUGUCAUAAUUUUUCCUUUCCGCUUGAGAAAGGAAAAUACUAAUGUACAGAGAGAUGGCAGGGAUAUUAAUUUCCCUUUGAAACUUAAGGGGAAAGGACAUGCUUCUACCAAACUUCCAUUUGGCUUUGAAGGCAGGACAAUUUUUCAUGCGGAACCCAAGCAGAGUUUCAAGAACGCUCAGCGUUGGUGUCCCCUGAGUCGCCACUGAAGGCACAGUGUGAACGUGGCAGGAUGGCAGGGUUGCCUGCCUGCAUCUCACGGGAGGGUGGAGUGUAGGGCUGGGCGGGUCCUCUGGCCAGCCCGGGGGUCAGGGCUAUCUGGCCUCCUUUAUCCCUCCACUGCCGGCCUCGGAGCUCCCUUUACCGACACGGCUCCUGCCUUUCUGAGGUUUCCAAUGCUGGAAUCCUUAUCUGAUCCUCUACCCGUUCCCACUUCCCUUAAUUGUCUCCUUGGAAGCUCAUAAAGAUUCAUUUUGGAGUCUGGCCCAUAGCUGUUUAAAGGUACAUGUUUUAACCUGGUUAUUUUUUCUCUCUCCCCCUGCCCCCCCCCCGGAGUUCAUGGUUCUUCACAAUUACCUUGACUGAGCUGCCAGAGUCAAGGGUGCUCCUCGGAGGUUUGGAGCCUCUUAAAAGGAAUCUGUUUGAAGCUGCCCAGAACUCCCUGAAUUAACUUAAACCCACCUGCACGGGACGCCUGGCCACUGCAAGAGCACUUGCCCAGGCUGGGGGGCAGGAGAACAUCCUGCUUGAGUUCAGACACCCCAGUUUGGUCCUCCUCCUUCCCAUUCCUUGUUCCUUCCUCCUCCCAUCCACCAGUAGAAAAUAAUAAAAUAAAUAAAUAAAUAAAUAAAUAAAUAAAAGAAAAACGAAAGAAACCUAAGAAACAAUCUCCAAAAGACUCAUGAGCCCUGAUUGCCACGCUGGCCUCGAGCCAAGGGUGAGUCUGCCUCCAAAUGAGGCCACGAAGGGAGUUACUGGAAGGCAGUCGAAACCCCCCAGAUGGGAGGUCAUUAACCCUCCCCCUCAUGCUCAUUUCCUUUGCCUUCCUUUUAAAGAAAAAAUUAAGUCUUCUAAGACAUUCUCUAGGCUGGUAAUAAAACUCUAGAAUUCCUUGGUCAUAUACAGAACAGAGCUCAAGAAGUCUAAGUGUAAAUGUGUAGAUAAGCAGGUUUACAGCCUGACUUGCAAGAUUACCCUAGAUCAAAGGUCUCCUCACUUACCGAAGGUGACGUUUAUCAUUCCUAAGUAUAUUUGAAGGUUUUUAUUACUUGUCUACGUACAGAUCUACAAACAGUAUCUACUUAGCAUGCUAGAACAUUUAGUGAGUAGUACCUCACUGUAUGUAUCCAAGAUUUCAUCAAUCUAAUCACAAGAAGGAAGCCAGUAGAUCAGCAUUCUGCUUAUGUAUUUUCCUGAUGACAGGCUCAUGAAAUGGGGAUUUCAAUGCAUUCUCACUUGAAAGACAGAUGUCCACCCUGAGAGAACGAAGGUGCUAAUUCGUAGUUUUUAAGAACUGUGCGAAGAGAAAGUAAGAAGAAUGGAAGCUUAGCAAGCGUAGCACGAAGAGAAGUGAAAACACAGUACAGGGGGUGGGAAAGGAGUCCCUUCGUCUAUAACCAAGGAGGUCUGUAAGAAACCACGGAAGCUUCUGCUAACUUGAAAUUCCACCAGCUGAGAAAUAAAACGCUGCUGGGUUAUUGAAGAAAGGUCUUGGCAUCUUACGCACGGGAAAUGAAACUUUUCAUUUUGCAAUUGGCUUGUGGAUUUGUUAGAACCCCCUCCCCUCCCAUCUUUCCAAGGCUUAGAGAACAGUCUGGAGUCAGAGAUGUGGUUUGCGUAUACUGCCCGGUUGACAGCAGAUCAAUAGUGAAAGACUAAUUAACUAAAUGAAGGCAGCAAAGAAGUAAGGUUUUGGCAAAUGACAAAGCCAUUCAUUGAGCCAUGUUUACUUCCAUUUUAGCUAACUUCUGUUUUUAAUUAGCAUCAGGAUGUUUUCAUUGCAGCCAUGGAGGGCAGGGUGGGGGGGGGGGAGUUCUUUCUCUUGUCAGGUGUGUUGCAUCCCAGAGUCAGAGCUGGUGAGAAGAGGAAAACCCAACAUGCCCCUCCCCCCCGAACUGGAAUUAUGCCACACCCCUCUCACUCCCCACUUCCCUGCCUGCACAGCGUUUGAGGUCGAGGCCCUAUUGCAGGACAGCUGGCUUCUCCCUCUGGACCAGCUGCAGUUAGUUGAUUUGGGAGGAUUAUUCUGAACAUAUGGAGCAGAUUUAUCUUACUGGAGUCCAAGCUCUGGAUUUCUUCACUUCAGGGUGAUCGAUAACAAUCAUUCAAACUCGGAUGUGAUCAAACCAACCUACUAACCCACCAAGGUAUUGAGUCAGAUGCCUUUCCUGUUUUGCUGCCCAUUUCUAAGUAGUAUUUCUUCAGCCCGAUUACUUGGGACUUUGGGAGCCUUUGUAGCAUACGAGUCUCCUUUUAUCAAAAUGGAGAGAGUGUGGGCUUCUGUUCUAUGGACAGGAAAAAUGAGCAGAGAAGCAUUUUAGCCAAGCUCGUGUUGCAGGUUGUGGGGCGGAAGGACAGAGAAUGGCCAGUCUCUUGCAGCUUGGCCAGUAGUUGGCUGUGGACCAGGCUGGAACCUACUGGGUCGAGGAGCUUUAGUCCCACCAUUUAGUAGAAUGGGGGAUGGUGGAUAGGGUGCCCAGGGCAGAAGCUGUUUGGUGAACAAGGCUGGUCAUUAGAAUUUAGAAUAGACUUUAUAGGAGUGAAGGGGUCAACUUCAACAGUAGUAGCAACUAGAUUUGACUUGAAGGGGACUCAGUAGUGGUGGAAGAGAGAAAGACAGCAGUAAAUGUAGUGACCACGUUUUUAAGAGGCCCUAACACUGUCUUGCCUCUGUUCUUCUUGUUCCUACUGGCUGCUAAGUCCAGGCUACUGAGCUGUCAAGGCUUGGCUUGCUUGCCCCGACAUGUACCCACAUAUUAAUUUUAUGUGCCAGCCUGCCUGGGUGAAGGGAUGCCCAGAGAGCUGGCAAAGCCAUUUCUGGGUCUGUAACACUGUUUGAUUUGAAUUGGUAGAUUGAGUAAAGAUCACCUGCAUUAGUGUGGGUAGGCAUCAUCCCAUUUGCCUGCAUAGAACAAAAGGGCAGAAGGGUAAAUUUGCUUGGCACUUGAGCUGGGACAGACAUCUCCUGGCUUCAGACAGACAUCUCCUGACUUCAGACAUUGGUGAUCCUGGGUUUCUUGGGACUUGGGCUGGAUCUCGCAGCUUGGCUCCAUGGGUUCUUGAGCCCUCGGACUCAGACCAGGACUUCUCAGCUCCUCUGGUUCUUAGGCCUCUAGGUUAGGGCUGGAGCUACACACAUCACCGGCUUUUCUGGACCUCCAGCUUGCAGCCAGCCGAUUGUGGGACUUCUCAGCCCCCACCAUUACAUGACAUGGGCCAAUCCCUCAUAGGUCAACCUCCUCUCUAUAUCCAUCCUGUUGGUUCUGUUUGUUCAGAGAACCAUGACUAAUACAUCCACUGAAGACCGUGGUAUACCCCAUUCCCAAGAGAUGGCAAUUUCUGGCUUUUUAUUAAAAUUUUUGUUAAUGUUCAUUUUUGAGACACACACACGCGUGCACACACACACACACAGUGAGUGGGGGAGGGGCGGAGACCGUGAGACCUAGAAUCUGAAGAAGGCUCCUGGCUCAAAGCUGUCAGCAGAGAGCCCGAUGUGGGGCUCAAACCCACAAACCACGAGAUCAUGACCUGAGCCCAAGACAGAGGCUUAACAGACUGAGCCACCCAGGCAUGCCUCUGGCUCUUACGCUGAGGACAGAGACAAUGUGCUCAUUUUUGUUCAAUAAAUUGGUCAGGGAACACAAUUACUUUGUGGCGGGCAUCAUGGCACAGAUAUUCUUUCAAUUAAUCCUCACAAUAACCCAAUGAAGUAGCACUCUCAAUUCACAUUAUGAAGGAGCUAGGCUCAAAGGGAUUAGAGUAACUUUCUCAAGGUCGCACAAUUAGUAGGUGGAGGAGUCCGGAUGAAGCCACAAGUGAGGAGGUUUGAGGCCAUGCUCUUAAUCAUUAGGCUGAGGCACUUCCUUAGCGGACCCUCAAUAAACAUGUACUAAAAAUUGAACGGGUCAUUUGUAUAGUACUUAUUACAUGUAGUGGGUGGUUAGUUACCGGACUGCAGAACUCAUUCAAGUUGAAGAGUUGUGUAUUUCUCUCAAGGGGUUAUUUCCCGGAUUUUAAUAGGAAAGUGUGCAAGAAAACCUCAGUGUUACCACCAAUGGUUGCCCACCUCUGCAGGCAGCAGCGAAUUCCGGAGACAUGGUUUUUCUUGGCUUAGAUACCUACAGUAUUUCCUACCAUUUCUGUAUUACUGUAACUUAAAGCUGAAGGAAGAAUCCCUUCUAGAAGGGUGGAUCUGAAGAGAGAAGGAGGGGGGGGGGGAGAUAAAGCUCCACUUUUGAAGACUCCGUCUAUUCCGGGACUUACCUGUCUACGGCAGAGGGGCCACCGAUGUGGUGGAGGACAGAGUCUCCACAUUUGGUCAUGAGAAACUCUCAUGCAGAAGGGGCUGGAGGAAGUGUGAUCACAUGAACCAGCACACUUCCUCCCACACUCUGGGUAACCCCCUUUUGAGGAUUCUUUUCCUGGGCUCCCCUUCCCAUCUACUUGCCCCCCCAGGGCAGAACCACCCUGGCCCAUGGGACAGUCCAAGCCCUCUAAUGGCUCCAGAGUUAUUUCAGUCCCUCAUCACUUUACAUCUUGCUAUCAUCUGCGAAAGAAAGGAACCUGAAUGCCUUAGUUAAUAAUUCUACUCCCAUGACCUCUCCCGAGUUAAAAAGGAAGCUGCUCUGUGUAGCUGAGUCAGUUUACCCUUUUCCCCCCUCCACCCCUCUACUUCUCCCUCUUGACUUUCAAAGCAGAAAGACACCCUGAGUGGUGGUUAGGAAGGAAGGAAGCUGCAAUCAAGAGGAUUCUUAGCUUUCCUGAAGUUCCAAGUUCAUUUACACCUUUCUUGGAACGCUCAGCACUUUGCCUUGGGGUAAGUUUUUGGGUCCCCCUUUGCGUGCACCCCUGCAGCCCUGAGUUACAAUCACAGGGUUCAGAUGCUCAUCCAAUGCAGACUCCUUCCUAGAACAAAUAUGUGAAUUAAGCAAGUAACUACCUCAUUGCACCUCAGGCAGGGAAGGGGGCUGCUCUGCUCCCUCUCCUUCCCUACUUCCUUAGUGAGGGUGGUGCCUCACCUUCCUGUGAGGCUCCAGGGACAGGUGUGAAUAACAGUGAGGGGGAGAUGGGGAGAGGGAGACAAAGGGAUAUGGAUUUCUUGGAGAGAAGAGUUCAAGUCCUCACCUCUCCUGCAAUGCUCAGCCCCAGUCUGUCCCUCUAAGCUUCACUGGCAGCUACUAUUGAACAGAGGGACCCUUUCCUUACCCAGGUGUGGGCAAUAGAAACCCCUUCUCUGCUCAGCUGAGGCUAAGCAACUCCAUGACAAAAAACAGGUGGAAGACCCAAAGCAUUUUCCUAGAUCACUUUAAGGGAAUAAUGAAAGCUGCUAGUAUGGAGAUCUAGGUGUUGAGCACAGGGCUAUGUUUCUUACAAAUGCUAAUCCAUGCAAGUCUCCAUUUGACACACUUCAGGUAACAGAGGCACACAGUUCAAGGGACUGUGCCCAAGGCCCACAGUGGAGCCCGUGUCUUUGUUCCAACGUUCCAGCUCUGUUACAGUCACGUAUCCCCAUCCAAGCCUCUUGCUACCAGUGACCGCCCCUAAGAUCUGGACAAGGGGACUUCCUGUCCUGGGCUCAGAGCUUUCGAGGGCCUCUCCCCACAAGGUAAGGAGUCUGGGAGUCCAUGAGGCUCUACCCAGCCUGGGUCCCCUUCCAUUUUAGAUUCUACUCUGGAUACCCAGGCUCCUGGAACUCCCUGACCACGGAGCUCCCACUUUGGUUGCCAGAUUUAUCCAAUAAAAAUACAGGAUGCCCAGUGAGAUUUGACUUUCAGAUAAAGAGUGAAGUAAUUUUUCAGUGUAAGUAGGUCCAAUGAAAUAUUUAGGACAUAUUUAAUGCUAAAAAUUGAUUCGUUAUUUAUCUGAAAUUCAAGUUUAACUGGAAAUCCUGUAGGCUUUCUGGCAACCUUAGCCUCAGCCCACUUCCAGGACCUGGCUUUUUCCUGGUGGUCAUUUGGGUAGGAGGUGCACAGAGCUCAGAUAUACACACGUGGGUGUCCAAAGACAUGCCCGAGGAGGGAGAGAAGGGGUGACUGACACCCUUUGGAUGUGGCCUUGUUAGGGGCUUGCCAGCUCCCUAAGUCUUCUAGACUGCUUUAUUCUCUUGUUUUCAUUUGUGAUUCCCGUGGUCCGUUGAGCUCACAGAACAUGACCCCCUUUUAUUUUGCUCACCUCUGACUUGAGGGGUGAGGAGAUAGGUGCUAGAACUAUCUACUCAGACUCCCCGUCUAAGGGCCAUUUAAAUGUUGGUGCAGAUGGCUUAAUGGGUUUCUCAGCCUACGGAAUGGAAAAACUGCUGGAUGUGAGGGUCGAAGCCUUUGGAUUUACGGUGUAAAGGGUGCCCGACUAUCAACGGGAUGCUUCCUCUCUCAGAUCUUCCCCGCCCCCCCUCAGAACAUGCGAAAAAUACCCCUGCCUCCUAGACAAGUGUGAGGGUAAAAUGAAACCUAUGAAAGCCUCAGAGUCCUCGGCAGGUGUCAAGCCUCAUAAAUGUAGUGGAGUCUGAAUAGGCAGAAACCGAACCCAGGCCUCUCCUGUUAUUCAGGCCCCGUUGACUACCUACACAUCCAUUUCUAGCUGGGGAUGGGGGGGGGUGCCCUGGGAUCUUCUGGGAAGCCCAAAAGGACUCCUGAAUCACAGAGCAGGGAUGCCCCUCCAUCCAAAUCUUCUGGACCAUUUUGAUCAACGAACCCAGAGAUAUGGUCCUCCAGAACCAUCAGACUCGAGGUUCGCAACUCAGAAUUCCUCUACACCAUGGGAGCUAGAGGACUACUCUGGUCUAGAGGACAAGGAAGACACUGCCCACCAAGACAGAGCUAAGUCAUCAGAACAGAGAGCUGAGGGACACCUUUGUGGUGGAGUCAGUUAAGUGUCCGACUCUCCAGUUUGGCCCAUGUCAUGAUCUCACGGUUCGUGGGUUCGAGCUCCACGUCCGGCUCUGUGCUGAAGGUGUGGAGCCUGCUUGGGAUUCUCUCUCUUCUCUACUUGUGCUUGCUCAUGCUCUCAAAAUAAAAAAGCCAAAAACCAGAGAGCUGAAUCAUUCCCACACACUUAAGACCACGAAGAUCAAGUCUUAGGAAAAGUUACUAAAAACCCAGCUCCUUUCCACUGCCAGGUAAGCGCGCUUUCUUGAGCACGAAAUGCAAACGUAGAAGAGAAACAUUAUUCCCAACAGGUGGUACAACAGCGUGCUCAGCGUUUCCCCAGCCUCUUGUCCUUGGUGUUGACACCUUCCCGAUUCCUUUCCCCUUUCCCUGCCUUCUUUCUUUCAUCCCCCCAAAUUAUCUUCUAAUGGUCUGCUAGCAAUUCUCAGGAGUAGAUUUAAGAGGAAGGUGCCACACACUGUGAUACAGAGAACAUGGCCUCUGGUGUCCGCAAAGACCCCCAACCCCAGUCCUGCCAUCUGCUGGCUAAGUAAUCCUGGGUAAGCCACUUCACCUUUUUGAGACUCCAUUUUUCCUUGUAACAGGGAAUGCUACAUCCUGCUAAAACUUCACACAAUGCCUCGUGAAGUGGUGGCCACGACUGAAGGUAUUUAACAUUUACAGAAAUAAGAUUAUACCUAUGCUCAAGAAAGCAUAGAAGGACGAAUGGACUACUUUCUGAAGUGUUCUUCGUAAGACUUACACAGAGGCGGGAAGUCGGCCAAAGGAGUAGCCUGAGGGGGUCUCUCCUUCUGUGAGCCCCAGACGGGAGGGCUCCUUUGGGUCUCACAUUUGUGACACAGUCUAGUCGGGCCUGACAGCAUGAGACACACCUCACUUCUGCGGGCUCGCUGUGCUCGUCCCCACCCCCUCCAUCCUUCCUUGAUCUGGGUCACGUUUAACUGUAACCACACCCGAUUACUGCUGCCUACUUGUUUGGUCCUGCAGGUAAUUAAGAAAUCCCAGGCACAUACUUUUCAGAUAGCGUAAUCGCCCUACAGUCUGGUACCGGUGCCCCGACAAGCUUCCUGCUGCGGUCCACUCUGCAAACAAUUCCACCCACCGCAGGUGAAAACGAUUCUACUUUUCAAGGCCAGAGAAGACGGGAUUUCGUGCAGCAGAAGCCUUUCAAUUAUUCAGGAUGCUGGCGUCUUUUUUAGUUCAAUUAUUCAGGGGUUUCUGAGUGCACGAUGGUCAAUUCGGCAUUUGCUGGUCCUAAGGCUUGGACUCGAUUGGUUUAGAUCCAACCCGCUCAGUGGGUCUCAAACGUGACCGUGAAUAUGGACAAGAGAAGUGGACAUCCCUGUGACAGAAAUCAAGCACAGAGGAAAGUUUCUCUUUCAGGUUUUUUUUUUUAUUUAAAAAAAUUUUUUUAGUGUUUAUUUUUGAGACAGAGAGACAGAGCAUGAAUGGGGGAGGGUCAGAGAGAGGGAGACACAGAAUCUGAAACAGGCUCCAGGCUCUGAGCAGUCAGCACAGAGCCCGACGCGGGGCUCAAACUCACGGACUGCGAGAUCGUGACCUCAGCCAAAGUCGGAUGCUUAACCGACUGAGCCACCCAGGCACCCCUCUUUCAGAGUUUUUGAUACCGCCUCUAGUCAAUACAAAUAGAAUGCUUUACAUUCAUGAUCAACCUUUCUUUCCAAGCCAACACCGGCAGAAGGAUUUUUGGAAAUCCAACAGCAAUUUGUGUAUAUAAGCAUAGACAACAUUUCAGAUAAGUUCUUCCUCUCAAAUAGUAUCUAUGUAUCCUCUUGAAAAUUUCAAAUGGAGGUUAGGUUACCUGCUUGCCUACCAGGAUGCCACGUUUUCCUGUUUGAGGAGAAAACAACCUAAGGAUAAAGUAUCAGGGGUUCCAGGUUUUCUUUGGAGAAAGGAUUUAUUUAGCACAGGGAAACAAUGUGGUUUGAGGAAGCACACCCUGACUGCCGCAAAGAUAUUUGACACUCACCACUCGUCCCCUCUGCCGAGUUCUCAUGAGAACGUCUAGAAAGCGAAUGAAUGAACUAAAAGGUAACUAGGGAUCAUUCAAUAAACAUUCUUUGAGCAUCUAGUAUGUUGAUUUGGGGUUGGACAAUGGCAAUACAACGAUAUUUAGAUCCUAGUCCCUGCUCUUGGAAGGGGAGACAAAUAUGUAGUCAAAAAAGACAAAAAAUACACGUAAUGUAAGUUUACACACUUUUACGCUGUGCAUCAAAAAGAAGCACCUGAUUAAGAACCUAAGCUUGAAUGGCUACAGGAAAUGCUGACAAAGUCGUGGGGUCACGUUAUUGUCUUCUGUAUCUCUAGCCUUUGUCUAGGGUCUGGCACAUUAUCUGCCACGUGAAUGAAGUCUUUGAGGCCCCUUUUCAAGUGUCUCCAAUUUUAAAACCUGAAUCUACUGCCUAAUGAGUGCCUAGUAUGCACUAUGCAUGGUUCUAUUUCUUUAGGUGUAUUAGCUUAUUCACUGCUCCUUCAGAAGUCUGAGAUGGUAUUAAUAUCAUGCUUUCAUGAUAUAGAUAAGGCGGCAGGGGGCGCCGGGGUGGCUCAGUCGGUUAGGCAUCCGACAUCGGCUCAGGUCAUGAUCUCUCCAUCCAGGAGUUUGAGCCCUGCAUUGGGCUCUGUGCUGACAGCUCAGAACCCGGAGCCUGCUUCUGAUUCUUUGUCUCCCUUGCUCUCUGCCUCUCCCCCCAACUCGCACUCUCUCUCAAAAAAAUAAACAUUAAAAAAAAGAAAAAGUAGGAAGACACUAAGGCAUUUGAUCAAUGUCACAUAGUUAUUAGGUGAUAGAAUUGGGAUUUGAACCUUGGCUCAGACUUCAGGAUCUCCAUUUUUAAUUGCUGUGCUACAUUGCUUACUGCAAGUUCAUGGGCUCUGUGUUGGCCACAGGAAUGUGAGGAGCUGUGGUGGACGAGAAGUGGAAACAGAACUUGGGUAGAAUGUAUCACCCCAAAGAUUGGCACACUGGGGGAUUACAGGAGAGCGAGACUGUAAUGGUGUGGCUAAAUCACACCCCACCCCCUGCAAUCCUCUGCCCCGGCAAGCAUCGUCUUCCAUAACUCCACACAAGUCCACGUUCCCAGGGGUGACUGGCCCUGGUUGGUGGCCUUUGGGGCCUCUGGGAGAAUCCACACACUGCAACCACCACAACACUUUAUCCUCUUUAUGGCCGUCAGAUGCCCCAUGUCUAGAGCAAGCAUCUUAGCACCACUGUUUCUCCUUCCUCUACUGGGGCUCUCCUCUUCUACAGGCUCUGAGUGAUCCAUGGCUUGGGGGACCACGACAGAUCAGGACCAGACUGGACUGGACCCAUGAUUGGGGUCAUCACCAUCUGCCUCUCUCCUAGGCCUCGACCUCUUCCUGGAUCAGGGAGAACAGGGAUUCUCCCUCCUUUCCUGAGGGCAAUAGCAGAGAGCUGAGAAAAUCGGUACCACCAGUGCCCAUGUUCCAGGAAACCAGCCUAUCCCCUUCUACUCUGAGUGGUUACCCUGAUUGCUUGUUCUCCAGACUCCUUGUUUUCGGUUUUGUUUUGUUUUUUAAACUUGUGAAUUCAUGCUCCAUUUCCUGUUUUGGGUAUAGAUGGAAGUUCAUGGGUUUACAAGUAUCAGAUGGAUCGGUGACCCCCCCCCGCCCCCCAUCAGAGCCAGUCUCUGGACCUGAGAGCAAGAGCCGCAGAGAAGCUGACGUUCCCCCAAGAAGAAAAGGGAAUCCGAGGGCUAGGACUUGGAGCACUAAAGGUUUGAUCCUUGGAGAACAGAGUUUAGAAUCUCAUCCCAUUGUGGAGACAUUAUGGGAAACCAGUUCCAAAGUUCAUUUGUUCUCAAGUCCUGUGACAAAAACACUUUGCUUCUAGUAUUUGAGAAUUGGAAGCUGAGAAUGUGCAAGUAAAGGAAUUGGUCAUUUCAAAGCUUCUAGCGUUUCUUUGUAUUAUGGGAAGUGGAGAUUUGGAGAAAAUAUAACCUGUUUUUGAGGAUGUCUUCAUUGGGCCUUUUAGUUUUGUAAAGUGAAGUCCAGAUUGAACUCCAAAGAGAAAAUGGGCCAGGUGGUAUCUUCAUGGUGCAUAGAGCGGGCUUUCUGUAGCUAUAUUUUUGGGUGGGGCAGAGGGGGAAGGUAUAGAUAGCACACAUUGUUAGUUGUUGGGAGUGGUGUGCAAGACCUUGCUGGGGCAGUUGUCCCAACAGACAUACGGGGACACUGUAGGCAGCAGUAUUAAAAGAUCAAAUCUCCAGCCUGUCCUCAGGUGGUUAUGGAGCAUAGUCGGCUGCCUGGACUGUUCUGGAAUGCCCCAAGGUCACGCUGAUAGCUAUACAUGGAAGGGCAUGGAAGACACUAUUUUUGUACUAGAGUUUUACAGAAAUGUAGCUGCCUCAUAGGACCAGUCAUCUGCAAUUCAUUCUGUUCAGGCUUUUCCUUAGCAAUGUGUAAGCAUGUUUAAGAUUAUGCUUUUAGUUCUCUGUUAGACCUUCAACUCAAGUGGUUGAGUUGUGAUUAAGUAUGUUUAUGGCUGGCUAUUAAAACACCAGGAAGAUGAUGCAAAUAGGUAUGGACCAUUUUGCCAGGUUAUUACAGAAUCAUGAGUCUGGAGAAGAUCGAGGUUACAUAUCAUCACAUACCAAAGAAACCAUAAACAAACUAGAGAUUUUCAUUGGCAAAGUGUAGUUAAAGUAUUUGAGUCCAGCAGAAUCAACGUAUCAGAUUUAUAUUUUGAAACAAUUGAGUCUGUGUGUCCUAGCCUAUAGGAAAACCUGACCAUUUGCAAGGAGGCAACAUUUCAAGGUCAUUCAGAACCAGAGUAUAAACCAUCUAACAGUGGCUUACUAAUAAUAAGAUCAAGUUACUGCUGUUGCUUGGAUUUCCAGAAUGAACAAUGUAACUUGUUAGAAAAAGAUUUGGGAAUUUCUCCCGGGCGGGAGGGCAAAAAAGAGCUAUUCAAGUAGGUCCUUACGCCUAGGUCCUCCGCCCCCUUCUGUUAACUCAAAUCAGAAUACAUACUCCAGUCUGAAAUUAUUUCCCUGAUGUUGGAACCCACCUCACUGGCUGGCUGUACAUAUUUGCAAAUGGUCAGAUUUCCCCCACAGGGGCUGUUAGACACACACUGGGUUGAGAGAGAUUACAAAAGUUGCAUAGGCCCAUGCAAUAUAUAAACAUGUAUCUAAUGUAUUUAAAAUAAAGACAGAUGGAAGAAUGUGCCCGCUCGAUGACGAGACAGGAAUAUGCAUGUGUAUCGUUCUGGGUCUUUAUCGGUAUUACUUCAACUCCAUGUCAGGUUUAGACCGUGGCCUAGAGAAUACGGGCGCAUGGACACCCCAGGGGGCCCCAAAGAAAGGAAAUUGCAGUAGGCACACAAUCUAUCUCUAGCCCACCUGCCAAAUGUUGGCAGACUACUCAGGGUCACAACCCACAUGUUGCGAACCACGAUUUUCCCUCCCUGGGUAGCAUGUGGUUUUGAAGGCAAAGGCUGUGAGUUUAUGUUCCCGGAUGCCAUAUGUAUGCAGUUAGACAAGUAUGGUCUCUUUAUAUGUACAUGGCCACAAAUCACUACAGAUUGAUGCCUGGCUGAUGGACUUGGUCUCCUGCAAGUUCCCCAUAUGCUUCACCUUACUCCAAGAUGUGGUGGAAGAAAAGAUGCAGUAUCGGGAGUUUUUGACAGAAGAAAACGGGAAGCCUCUACUCGAGCUACGGUAUGUGAAGCUAGAAUGGACCAUGGUGGUGGGAGACCAUUCCUCCUUGACUACCUUAUUCAUUCACUAAUUUUUUUAAAUAGAAUUGUCAAUUUGGCUAACAUACCGUGUAUACAGUGUGCUCUUGGUGUUGGGGGGUAGAUCCCCCGAUUCAUUGCUUAUGUACAACACCCAGUGCCCAUCCCAACAAGUACCCUCCUCAGUGCCCAACCACCCGUUUUCCCCUCUCCCCCGCCCACCCACAGUCAGCCUCCGUCUGUUCUCUGUAUUUAAGUCUUAAGGUUUGCCUCCCUGUUUCAAAUUAUUUCUUCCCUUUCCCCAUGGUCUUCUGUUAGGUUUCUCAAGGUCCACUUAUUAGUGAAAACAUGGUAUCGGUCCUUCUCGGACUUACUUCACUCAGGAUAAUACCCUCCAGUUCCUUCCGUGUUGCUACAGAUGGUAUGAUUUCAUUCUUUCUCAUUGCCAAGUAGUAUUCCGCUGUAUACAUAAGCCAUAUCUUUAUCCAUGCAUCAGUUGGACAUUGGUGUUUUCCAUAAUUCAUUUUUUUAAUGGUUUUUAAAAAUUUUGAGAGCAUGGGGAGGGGCAGAAACAGGAAGACAGAGGAUCCAAAGUGGGCUUUGCACGGUCAGAGUGCCAGAUGUGAGGCCUGAACUUACAAACUGCAAGAUCGUGACCUGAGCCGAAGUUGGACGCUUAACCGAGCCACCCAGACACCCCGGAUUUCUUUACACCUUCAAAAAGCAACGAGAGCAAAACAGAAGAACCUGCAACCAAACGAUAAAUGGCCACUGGGACUUUCUCCAAAGGCGUUCUCAUUCAGCCUUAUAAACUGAAAGGCGUUAGCCAGCUUCGUGGGGUCAAGCUUUUCCCUGACAGACGUUGUGAUUCCUGGUUUCCGUUUUUCGAACUUCCCUUUUGUUCUCCCCCCACCCCCCCGGUCUUCCCCUUCCCUCCUGUGUAUUUACACGUUUUUCCCCACUUCAUACAAGGAUCGGGGAGCACAAACAAGAUUAGAGGAGAUUGAUCAAUAACCUCACCCUGGCAACUGGGAACACGAGCUGACCGUGAAGACCAAUGGAGUUUAGUAUUAUUGAGCCUCCAUCUAACUCAGGUCUCCUGUGAGGGACCUCAGACUGAAGGUCAAAGGAGGGAAACCUAUUUUAUGUAAGGUUUUGCUACCAAAAAGGAGGAACAAAUUGCUUCCUCAUAUGUACAUAUCCAUGGCAAGUGUAAUGGGGCAAGGGUGUAGGCUGGGUUUGAAAGAGGACUUUUUUUUUUUUUAAGAUUUUGAGAGAAAGAAAGAGAAAGAGGGAGAAGGAGGGAGCACGCGCGCACGAGAGGUGGGGGAAGUGCAAGAAGAGAGGGAGAGGGAGAAUCCCAAGCAGGCUCUGCACUGCCAGCACAGAGCCCAAGGCGGGGCUCAAACUCACAAACUAGAAGCUCCUGAACUGAGCCGGAGGCUUCACUGACAAAGGCACCCAGGUGCCCCUGAGUGAGGAUUGAGAGCCCCCAGCUCUUGCUUUUUCUUUCAUGAAAUAUUUCAAGUUAACAGAGAAGCAGAGAAAACAUCAGAAAAACAAGCAGACACAAAGUUUUAAAGAUACCAGGUGGACGUCCCAGCUUCAAUAAAACCUAAGCUUUUCCGAUUUUCUUCCGCAUUUGUAAAGACACCAGGUCAGAGAGAAGUGACAAUUCCUGCCUUCUCUCCUCCCUCCUCUCCUUCGCAGAAUUCUCCCUAGAGCUGAAGCAGCCAAACUUUUAAUAACGUAUUUUAUGUAAUUAGUCGCUACAGGCACACAGACGCUUACAAGCAUUUACCCUCUGCCUUAGGAUCCCAAGCAGCAGAUCCUUGCACAGAGCUGUUUGUGCAGGAGAAACCCCGUAAGAAAAUGAGGGAAGCAAGACAUAGGAGGAGAGGGAGCUAAGCAGAGAUGUGAUUUCUGCCGAAGUCUAGCCUCAGUCUGACCUCUUUAGGGGACUCUGGGCCGUGAAGACACCACGCACGAGUCUCACCGAGGCGGAGACGCUUGGCUUUCACGCCCCUUAUUUAUAAGCCAUUGGCUGUAGGCCACCUGGUGGUGGGGGGUGGGGGAGGAUCACAACCUCUCAGGUAUUUCCCGUUAACGUGAUUCCCAUCAGCCAAUGGCAAGGAGUCUCCAGAAGAAGGCAGUUGUGAGCAGUUAGCAGUACUUGGGGGGUGAGUGCAGGAGCCCCAUGAAGGCAUCUGGGCAGGUCAUCAGAGGCAUUGACUACACCUUCCAACCUGUGAUCCUUCUGAUGCGUUUUUCCUCUCUCCUCCCCUCCCCCUUCCUUCUGCUCAUUGCUUACUAGAUUGAUUUCAUCAAUGCAGUGAAUUCGUGAGGAUAAACUGGAUUAUUCAAUAAAUGGUGCUAGAAUAAUUGGCCAUUUGUGUAGAAAACAAAGCAAAAUUGUAUCCCUGAUCCACACACACACACACACACACACACACACACACACACAAAUUCAUGGAUGAAUAAAGAUCUAAAUGUAUUGUGCCUUUCCUUCCCUUUCUUUCCCUAUCCCACCCUUCUGUUCAGUGCCCACGAAAAUGAUUUUGCUAUCUGUUAAGGAGGGCACAACCUAAAGUUUAAAAAAUACUGUUCUAGGCUAUACCUAGAAAGGGAAUUGCUGGAGUAUGAAAUCUACAUUAGUAGAUACUCUUAGGUGGCCCUUCCAAGUAGUUUAAUGUGUAUCUAUAUCUCUCUGUCUAUAUACAUUUACAUUAAAUAUGUUGCAAAUGCCUUUUCCCUGUGCAUAACUUUUUACAUUGUGGUGUCUUUUGAUGUGCAAAAGUUUUACAUUUUUGUAAAGUGGACUUUAUAUUUUUCUUUAGGUUUUGUGUGUUUUUUGGGUGCAAUUAUUACAGAAUUAUUUCCUAGCUUAGAGACGUAAAGACAUACUUCAUUUUCUUCUAAACGAUUUAAGUUCUUAUUUUUCAUAUUUAGAUCUUUAUUCAUCCAUGAAUUUUGGAGGGCUGCAGAUUAAAGAAUGUAAUUUUGGUUUCUAUAUAAAUAGCCACUUAUUCCAACACCAUUUAUUGAAUAAUCCAUCUUAUUGUCACUAAUUUGUAAUGUGUUAAUUUUUUCUGUAUACACAGGUCUGUUUUUAGGUCUUGCUAUCCUAUCCCAUUGACCUACGUAUGUGUCUCUUCACCUGUGCCAGUGUCACGCUCUCUUAAUUGCUACAGCUUUGCAUCAUGAUAAAUCAUGAUAUUUGAUAGGGCCAAACCACUAAUUUUGUUCUUCAAAGGUUUCUGGGAUAUUUUUCUGGCUUUCCUCUUCUUCCAUAUAAAUGUUAGGAUCAGCCUUGUAAGUUUCAUGAAAAUUUUCUGGUAGAUUUUGACUGGAAUUUAAUUAAUAUGUUAAUUUGAGAAGACUAGCUAUCUUUGUUAUUGAAUUUUUCCAUCAAUGAAUAUGGCCUAUCCCUAUAUUCAGGUCUUUGUCUAUGCCCUUCAAUGCUAUUUUUAAGCCUUCCUCAAAAAAUUGUAGCAUGUCUUUCCUUAGUUUAUCCCUAGAUUACUUUUUUUCCAUUUCACUGAUAUUUGAGUGGUAUUUUUUUCUAUUACAUUAUCUUUCUUUAAAAAAAUUUUUAAAAAUGUUUAUUUGUUUUUGAGGGAGAGAAAGAGUGCGGGGGUGGGGGAGAAGACAGAGACAGAGACAUAGAAUCCAAAGCAGGGUCCAGGCUCUGAGCUGUCAGCACAGAGCCCCAAGCAGGUCUCAAACUCACAGGCUGUGAGAUCAUGACCUGAGCCGCAGUCAGAUGCUUAACUGACUGAGCCACCCAGGUGCCCCUCCUUUUCUGUGUGGUUAUUGCUGGUUCAUAGGAACACUACUGAUAUUUAUAUAUCUUAAACUCUCUUAUUGAUUUUAACUUUGUUAGACUCUUAUUUUCUUAGACAAUCAAAAUCAUCAGCAAAUAUAGACAAGUUUGCUUGUUCCCUCCCCAGGUUUAUGCUUCUUCUUAUUUCCUUUCUUUUCUUAUUUUAGCAGUUAGGACUUUCACUACAAGUUUGAAGUGAAUCAGUCACAGCAGGUGAAAUGUUUUAUUAAGAUAAUGCUUGCUAUAGAUUUAUGGUGUUAAGGAAGUUCCCUUAUAAUUCUGGUUUGCAGAGAUUUUUAAAAAAAUAUUGGCAAAUAUUGCAUUUUAUCAAAUGAUUUUUUUCUGCAUAUAUUGAGAUAAUUAUAUACUUAUCCCCCUUAGUCUGUUAAGGUAUAUGAGAGAUUUCCUAACAUUGAACCAUCCUGCACCUUCCUGAGAUAAACUGUUUGGUUUUUGUACACGGCUUAAUGAUUUGCUAAUAUUUUAUUUAGGAUUUUGCAUCUCUUUGCAAAUAUGUCUUUUUCUUUUACAAUCAUUGUCUGGCUUUAAUAUCAGUGUUAGUAUACUAAGUUUACAAAACGAGUUGGAAAUGUUACCUUUUCUUCUGUUCUCUGAAGCAGAGAUUACCAUAUGGGAUACACAGACAAAGCCUGGUUUUAAAUUGCCUACAAAAGAUUCACAAAGCUAUGUUUUUUAUUAGGUAGGUUGGAAUACUUGCUUUAUUACCAAUGAACAAGCCCCCCCCCUUCUCAUCUUUUAAUUUUGUUUAGAGUUUUUGUUGUAUCUCUAAAAAUUCAAGGAGAGGGGCACCUGGGUGGCUUAGUGUCUUAAGCAGAGGACUCUUUUUUUUUUUUUUUGAAAUUUCUAAAAUUUUCUUCUUGUUUUAUUUUUUUUUUCUUUUUUUUGGCUCCUAUUUGUAUUUUUUUUUUUAUGAAAUUUAUUGACAAAUUGGUUUCCAUACAACACCCAGUGCUCAUCCCAAAAGGUGCCCUCCUCAAUACCCAUCACCCACCCUCCCCUCCCUCCCACCCCCCAUCAACCCUCAGUUUGUUCUCAGUUUUUAACAGUCUCUUAUGCUUUGGCUCUCUCCCACUCUAACUUCUUUUUUUUUUUUUUUCCUUCCCCUCCCCCAUGGGUUCCUGUUAAGUUUCUCAGGAUCCACAUAAGAGUGAAACCAUAUGGUAUCUGUCUUUCUCUGUAUGGCUUAUUUCACUUAGCAUUACACUCUCCAGUUCCAUCCACGUUGCUACAAAGGGCCAUAUUUCAUUUUUUCUCAUUGCCACAUAGUACUCCAUUGUGUAUAUAUACCACAAUUUCUUUAUCCAUUCAUCAGUUGAUGGACAUUUAGGCUCUUUCCAUAAUUUGGCUAUUGUUGAGAGUGCUGCUAUGAACAUUGGGGUACAAGUGCCCCUAUGCAACAACCAACAAAACUAAAAGGCAACCAACGGAAUGGGAAAAGAUAUUUGCAAAUGACAUAUCGGACAAAGGGCUAGUAUCUAAAAUCUAUAAAGAGCUCACCAAACUCCACACCCGAAAAACAAAUAACCCAGUGAAGAAAUGGGCAGAAAACAUGAAUAAGCAGAGGACUCUUGAUUUAGGCUCAGAUCAUGAUCUCGUGGAUCUUGCCCUGUGUCCGUCUGUGCACCGGCAGUGGAGCUCAGAGCCUGCCGGAUUCUCUCUCUCUCUCUCUCUCUGCCCCUCCCCAGCUCAUGCUCUCUCUCUCAAAAUAAAUAAAUAAUUUUUUUUUAAUUAAGGGGCGCUUCGGGGGCUCAGUCAGAUGAGUGUCCACCUUUGGUUUUGGCUCUAUUCAUGAUUCCAGGGUCAUGGGAUUGAGCCCGGUGUUGGGCUCCACACUGAGUGUAGGGCCUGCUUGAGGUUCUCUCUCCCUAUGCCCUGUUCCCCGCUUUCACGCACAUUCUCUCUCUAAAAUAAAAAAAAAUCAAAAUAAAUAGUUAUUUUUCUUUCUUUUAUUUUUGUAUUCACUGUUUAAUUUCUCCCUUUUGGGUUAAUUUUUCUUCUUGAGGUAAUGAUUUAAUAGUUUCCUUUGUGAGGGUCUGUAGGUGGUAAAUGCUUUAAAUGUUUGUGUGGUGAAAAAUGACAUUAUUUGUCCAUUCAGUUGAAAGAUUGUUUGGGGGGGCGCCUGGGUGGCGCAGUCGGUUAAGCGUCCGACUUCAGCCAGGUCACGAUCUCACGGUCCGUGAGUUCGAGCCCCGCGUCGGGCUCUGGGCUGAUGGCUCAGAGCCUGGAGCCUGUUCCCGAUUCUGUGUCUCCCUCUCUCUCUGCCCCUCCCCCGUUCAUGCUCUGUCUCUCUCUGUCCCAAAAAAAAAUAAAUAAAUAAAUAAAUAAAUAAACGUUGAAAAAAAAAAAAAAAGAUUGUUUGGGCAUAAAAUUGUGGAUUGACAGUUCUUUCCUGUCAACCCUGAAGAUCUUAUUCUGUUAUUUUCUGGCAUUGAUGGCAACGAAGGAGAAGUCUGCUUUCUGAGAGCUUUAAAUGGCCUCUAGUUUUCUUUGAUGGUCUGUAGGUUCAUUAUGACAUGUCCAGAUAUGUAUUUAUUUUCACAUAUUCUCUUCAAGACUUGGAGAUGCACUUCUGAUCUGAGAAUUUAUGUCUUUUUUUCAAUAUUAGAAAAUGACUCUUUCUUAUGGUUUUGGGUCAUUCUUUUCUCCUUUCUGUUCUUUCCUAAAUUUCUAUUUCAUACUUUCUCCUCUUCAAACAUCUAACACCUCCUCUACCUUCGUCAUUCAAAACAAGCCCCUCGCCUUCUCCUCCAAGUUAGAUUCUCUCAUGUUCACCUUCUUUUCUUUCUCUCCAAUUCAGUUUAUUAAUAAUCCUGUCGGCACUAAUUUAAAAAGAAAUUCCAUCCUGGAUCUUAACAUUCAUGUGUUUUGUAAAAGUAAGAGCAUCAUGACUGCAUUCUAAGUUAGGAGUUGAUGAGGCAUGCAGAAGAAAAAGAAAUAGGAAACUUUGCAACCAACUGCCCAAGUGAAAGCUAAAUAAACAAACAAACCAACCAACUGUCUUUCUGGGCUUAUGAUAGAGGUGCCGGAAAUCACAGGAGACUUUCCUGGGACAUGUGUUGUGUAACAAGUCCUGACAAAUACAUGGAUCAUCAAAGAGAUUUCUAUUUUAUAUACUGAGAAGCUUUAUGAUCCAGGAAGUGGUCAGGCCAUCUGGGAUCUCCUGCUUACCCAUAUGGAGCUCUGAUUGAAUAUGUGAGACUAAGAGGAAAGCACAAUUUUAGUGAACAUGAGCUGUUUGGAAUCAGCAUGGGGGUGCAUCAAAGGUGGUGCCGAAACAAAGGGAUUACUUUUCCACCAAGCCCUUGUAAGAGAGUGCAGAGGGUAGUCAGAGUCUUGAAGAUUGAAGAAGGAAUGACAAAGAAGGAAAGAAUGAAACUCCAUUUCUCCAGGUGACCAUGUUAUAGGAUGGUGUCACUGACCUAAAGAGACAGACAUUUUGGGGGGAUAGGGAAUUGGUAAGAAAUACAUGGAAGCUUCAUGUUGUCAGGGAAAUCAAAUUAUUUUUAAGUAUAGGAACCAGCAUGUUUUCUUCAUAAUAAAGAAGUAAUAAAUUGCAUUUCUAUAGCACAUUACCCUUUUUCAAAGCAUAUAAGCCACUUCACUUGAUAUUUUCAACCCUGUAAGGUAGAUAGGAGAUCCAUUUAAAAGCAAGAUCUGAGGGACACCUGGGUGGCUCAGUUGGUUGAGUGCCCAACUUCAGCUCAGGUCAUGAUCUUGUGGCUUGUGAGUUCGAGCCCCACAUUGGGCUCACCGCUUUCAGUGCAGAGCCUGCUUAGGAUCCUCUGUCCCCCCUCUCUGCCCCUCCCCAGCUUGCACUCUCUCUCUUUCAAAAAUAAAUAAACAUUAAAAAAAAGAAUUUAAAAGCAAGAACUGAGCCAUAAUUCUUUAACCAUGCUCUCCUCCCCUCUUCACCCCACCAGGAUCUAGUACAGUGUGAGAUGAACAAAGUGCUUUUAAUCACCCUGUUAUUAGAUCAAUUCCCACUUUACAGUUAACAUCAAGAGGAAUUAUGAAGUUGUUAGUUGCCAAACAUCACAUAGCCAGUCAUGGCACAGCUAGGACCCAGGAGCAAGCCUAGUAAAUUUAAGUCUUGUGCACUCAAUAUUCUGUCAAAGACCACACAGAGGCAGGAACAGGAAAUAAAAGUGUUCGUGGCAAUUAUCCUGUGCCAAGGGUCAUUGAUCUUCUUGAUGAAGAGCUCCUGUUGAUUUACCUAAAGUUUAAUAAUCUACCAAUGAAGGCACUAUUAAGAAUGGCUUAACAUAAGCACAACUUGCCAAUUAAGAGAACCUUGGCAGGUUCUGUGUUGGCUGGAACGUUCAAGUCCAUUCGACCCAGAAAAUUGUAUUAAAAUCUCCGAGAUGGGUGUAGCCUCAAAGAAGUAGUGCCAGACAGGUUCAAGGAGAACAAAACAGUAUUUCUUUCAGUCCUCGAUGCUUUCCUCAAAAAGUCUCGUUCUUGUCUCUUCAAGUCAGUCUCCAACUCCAUCAGGUAACAGACCUCUUCAAAGACCUUCCAAUGUGUUCCUGUGUCUAGGUGGAAAUCCGUUACACCCUGGGGACACCCACCUGCUAGUAGGAGGCUCCCCCCUCAGUUCAUUUCACCAGCAAUUGGAGAAGUCUUCUCCAUAUUCUCUGCCGUACCUAUCAACAAUGUGUCCACAAAGCCAUCUAUUAAUGGGAAUGUUAUGGGGUCUACCAAACCCCAUUGAGUAACUCAGUUUCCUACCUUUCAGGGAAAAGGGGCCAUAUGGUCAGUUAUCCAGCUCUUGAUAAGCAGAAUGGAGGAAUCCUAGUAGAUCCACAGGAUGAUACAUUUUUAUUUUAGCCAAGAAAAUGUUUCUCCUUCUGGUUGGAAGAUUAACAAGUUCUGAGACCUAAUGUAUUAUAGCUAAUAUUACUAUAUUAUAUACUUAAAAGUUGCUAAGAGAGUAGAUUUUUUUUUAUAAUUUUUAAAUGUUUUUUAUUUUAUUUUUGAGAGAGUGACAGAGCAUGAGUGGGGAAGGGGCAGGGAGAGAGGGAUACACAGAAUCCGAAGCAGACUCCAGGCUCCAAGCUGUCAGCACAGAGCCCGACAUGGGGCUCCAACCCAUGAACCAUAAGGUCAUGACCUGAGCCGAAGUUGGACACUUAACUGACUGAGCCACCUAGACACCCCGAGAGUAGAUUUUAAGUGUUCUUACCACAAAAAAAGAGAUGCUAAUUAUGUGACAGGAUGGAGGUGUUAGCUAAUAGGAUAUUGGUAAUCAUUUUGCAAUAUAUAAGUGUAUUAAAUCAACAUGUUGUACAUCUUAAAUUUAUACACUAUUAUAUCUCAAUAAAACUGGAAAUAAAAAAAAAUGUCUCUCCAAUGUUGGCUUUGAAGAAGUAAGCUAUCAUCAUGGAGAAAGCCACAUGAUAAGGAACUCUAAGCAGCCUCUCAGAGUUGAGAAUAGCCAACAGCCGACAGCCAGCAAGAUGGGAACCUCAGUCCUGCCAAGUGCAAAUAGAUGAAUUCUGCCAACAAUAUGAAAGCUUAGAAGCAGAUCUUUCCCCAGUCGAUCCUCUGAUAAGACCUCAGCUCUGGCUGACAGUAAGACCACAGCUUGAUGAAUGAGAUCCAGUUAAGCUGUUCCUGGACUUCUGAACUACAGAAACUAUGAGAUAAUGCAUGUGUGUGUUGAUUUAAGUGGUUAAAUUUGUAGUAAUUUGUUAUGCAGCAUAGAAAACUAAUAUAACUGGGUAUUAAGAGACAUGAGCCCCUUUCCUUGAGCCAAUCCUGUAUGAACUUGAAUAAGUUAUUUUACCAUAUCCAGCAUGAGAACUAGAACUUCAUAGGAUGUUAGAAUUCCAGGGAAUAAUUUUGUGACAGUUAGCUCUGUUAUAUUUCUAUUUCUACUGAUCUAUAAAAUCUAAGCCUAAAAAUCCCUGGAUUGAAGACAUUCUAAAUAUGGAGUAUAGACACUUCUGGAGUGGUUUACAAUGUUCCCAACACAAGCUUGAGUGUGUGUGUGUGUGUGUGUGUGUGUAGAAAGUUAGUGCGUGUGUGUGUGUGUGUGUGUGUGUGUUGUGGUGGUGGGAAAGCCACUUAUUUAAUGGGGCCAAAAGAGUUAGAUAGAGCAUUAGAAAUCCAAGGGAAUGUGGAAUGGAAUAGUAAAAUCUAAUUAUAGAUCAAUGAUAUAGAAACAAUUCAAUUACCAGGGGUUGAGUCAGCGUCAUCAAUGGACAACUAUGAGAGGUAGAUUUCAUAGAGAUUUUGGUGUGAAAAUCAAUCAGAACAAAUGAGUGCAUAGAUUUGGAGAUUUAGGUUUUAAUGAUGAUGGCCUGUGGUGACUUCUUGGUUUAGAAUUCAUUUUCUUUUUGAAUACAUUUUGGAAUCUUAAGGCUCAAUUUUACAGGUAUUCCUAUGUUGAAGAGCUAGGAAAAUGGUUACCUCAAUUCACAGAUCAUACCCAGAGAAGGCAAAGGGCUUGUAGAAACCACAUAGCAUCAUCUCAGGAAAUAAAUCUGGGCCUUCUAAGCUCCCGCUGACUGUUUUCUUUGAGAUCCUUGAAAAAUGGAUAUAAUUGAUUUAACAAAAUGCUUGGAGGAUGCAAAAAUGGGAGGUGUUGAAAGUUCCAGUGAAGAUAGAAAAGCAAUACCAAAAGCAGACCAAGAUCAGGGAUAUAAGCAGGAAAUAGCCAGAUGUGAUUCAGAUUGGAGAAAGAGAACCCAAAACAUCUGGAGAACAAUAAUUUGAAACAGAUACUCUCCAGGAGAAAGCAAUUUGGAAAGCAUUAGUGUGGUGAGACCUGGACAGCACUGUGAAGACAAAUAGGGUCUCUAAUGCCUAUGCAGUGGCCCAAACUGGCCACACUGGGUUUGUAAGUCACAGAUGGAGAGGGUCAGUGGAUAAGGAGGACGGAUGCAAUUCUACAGGUCUAAGUGUCCAAAGCCACGCUCUUCCAAUCCUUCCUGGCUUUGUACGCAGAUCUGUCUGGCUAGAAGAGAAAGUCACAGAUGACAUACUACUAGUGAAGACAAGGGAGAGUUCUAAGAAAUUGAUCCUCAGCCCAUAGGACAGCUGGAGGCCCUGGGCCAGUUCUUCAAGCUUGACCAAUCUCUCUCUUUUUUUUUUUUACCCCAAUAUGCAUUCAAAUAUUAUCGUGGUCUCUCUAUAGCAUAAAUUUAAAAAAGUUAGGAUUUGCUAGCUGAGAAUAUCCCCCCCCCUGCUUGUUCUUCUUUCUAAAUACUAUCAGUAACAAAUGUUCAUAUCAGGAGCACCCAGGGGGCUCAGUUGGUUGAAUGUCCGACUCUUGAUUUCGGCUCAGGUCAUGAUCUCAGGGCUGUGGGAUUGACCCCUGUGCUGGCUCCUGUGCAGAGCAUGGAGCCUGCUUAAGAUUCUUUCUCUUCCUCUGCCCCUCUCCCCCACUCAUGUGUGUGCACUGUCUCUAAAAACAAAAAGGGUAUUAAAAAUUUUUCAUAUCAAAGUAUUGUGCACAUAUAGAGAAGAACAAAUAAUAGGAUUCCGGCUCAGUAAAUUACAAAAAGUGAACACACCUGUGUAACCAGCACCCAGAUUACCGUGUUGAACAUGAACAGAACUCUAGAAGUACCUUUCCCCCAUCCCCUAGGGUAACCUUCUUCUGAUCACUACUCACCCUCUAACGGCAUGGAUCGAUUUUGUCUGAGCUUGAACUUUAUAUACAUUUGGCAAUUUUUUCUUUUUCUUUGUCUUUUUCUUUUGUUCAAGUAUAAAUAACAUACAGUAUAAUAUUAGGUUCAGGUGUACAAUAUAACAUUCAACAAUUCUUUUUUUUUUAAAUUUUCAAAUGUAAGCUAUUGAGCAUUUUGUAUUUUUUAUAGUUUUUAUUUGUUUACUUUGAGAAAGAGAUAGCACAAGCGGGGAGGAGCAGAGGAGAGAGAGGGAGAGAGAAAAUCCCAAGCAGGCCCCCCACUGUCAGCAUGGAGCCCAAAGCAGGGCUUGAACCCAUGAACCGUGAGAUCAUUACCUAAGCUGAAAUCAAGAGCUGGAUACUUAACCGACUGAGCCACCCAGGCUCUCCUGAAGCAUUUUGUGUUUUUGUUUUUGUUUUUAAAUUAAGUUUUUAAUUUUAAUUCUAGUUAACAGUCAUAUUAGUUUCAGGUGUACAAUAUAGUAAUUCAACAAUUCUAUACAUUAUUUAGUACUCAUCAUAAGUGUACUUUUUAAUCUCUGUCACCUAUUUCACUAAUCACCCCCCCCACCUUCCUUCUGGUAACCAUCAGUUCUCCAUAGUUAAGAGUCUGUUUCUUAGUUUAUGUCCCUCUCUCUCUUUUUUCUUCCUUUGCUUAUUAAAUUCUACAUAUGAAUGAAAUCAUAUGGUAUUUGUCUUUCUUUGUUUAUGUCACUUAGCAUUAUACUCUCUGGCUUUAUCCAUGUUGUUGUAAAUGGCAAGAUUUCAUUCUUUUUUGUGGCUGUAUAAUAUUCCAGUGUGUGUGUGUGUGUGUGUGUGUGUGUGUGUGUGUCUUUUGUGUGUGUGUGUGUGUGUGUGUCUGUGUGUGUAUACACACACCACUCUUCUUUAUUCAUUCAUCUAUUGAUGGACACUUGGGCUGCUUCAUAAUUUGGCUAUUGUAAUAAUGCGGAAAUAAACAUAGGGGUACAUGUAUCCCUUUGAAUUAGUAUUUUUGUAUUUUGGGAGUAAAUACCCAGUAGUGUGAUUACUGGAUCUUAGGGUAGUUCUAUUUUCACUUUUUGAGGGACCUCGAUGCUGUUUUUUAGAGUGGCUGCACCAGUUUGAAUUCCUACUACCAGUGCACAAGGUUUCCUUCUCCUCCACACCAUCACCAACAUUUGUUGUUUCUUGUGUUUUUUACUUUAGCCAUUCUGACAGGUGUAAAGUGAUAUCUCACGGUAGUUUUGAUUCGCAUUUCCCUGAUGAUUAGUCAUGUUGAACAUCUUUUUAUGUGUCUGUUGGCCAUCUGUGUGUCUUCUUUGCAGAAAUGUCUGUUCAUGUCUUCUGCCCAUUUUUAAAUUGGAUUAUUUGUUUUUUUGUGUGUUGAGUUGCAUCAGUUCUAUAUAUAUUUUGGAUACGAUUCAACAAUUCUAUUUAUUUCUCAAUGGUCGUGAAGAUAAGUGUACUCAUAAUUCCCUUUAUCUAUUCCACGCAUGUCCCCACCUACAUCCCCUCUUGCAGCCACCAGCGUGUUCUCUGCAUGUAAGAAUUUGACUUAUUGUUUGUUUCUUUUUUCUUUAUUUUGUUUCUUAAAUUCCACAUAUGGGUAAAACAUAUGGUAUUUGUCUUCCUUCUGACUUAUUUCACUUAGCAUUAUACUCUCUAGCUCCAUUCAUGCUGUUGCAAAUGGCAAGGUAUAACUCUUUCUUUAUGGCUGAAUAAUAUUAUAUAUAUCACAUCUUCUUUACCCAUUCAUCUAUUGAUGGACACUUGAGUUGCUUCCAUAUCUUGGCUAUUGUAAACAAUACCCCUAAACAUAGGGGUACGUAUACCUUUUUGAAACCAUGAUUUGCCUUCUUUGGGUAAAUAUCUAGCAAUGGAAUUACUGGAACAUAUGGUAAUUCUAUUUUUAAUUUUUUGAGGAACCUCCAUACUGUUCUCCACAGUGGCUGCAUCAGUUUGCAUUCCUUCCAAGCGCAUGAGGGUUACUUUUUCUCCAUAUCCUUGCCAUACAGGUAGCAAUUUUUAUGUCUGCCUUCUUUUGCUAAACAUUAGGUUUUUGAGUUUCAUGUGCCUCAUUGCAUGUAUUUCUACAUUUUCCCCUUUCAUUGUUAUAUAGUAUUCCAUGAUGUGAAUGUAUUUAUGCAUUCUGUUGGUGAUGAAUAUUGGGUUGUUUCAGUUUUAGUCUAUCAUGAGCAUUUUUGCUUCCUUGGUGAGUAUGUGUACACAUUUCUUUUAGUCUUAAUCAGCUUUUAAGCGUCUUUUGAGAUAACAUUCUCCAAAUUCCUUUAUAUACCUGAAGUCCCCAUGAGCUCAAAACACAUUUAAUUAUUUUUUCUCCUCUCUCUUCCUUGGGAAAAGAUGGAAACAACCAACUGUGAAUAUUAACUAUUAUCCUCAACUAAGGCACACCAAGAUAUUUCUCUGAAGCAUUAUUACAAGUGGAAUAUGCAGUGUUUGCAAGCAUCCUGUGAGAAACCUUUGUUCACAAAUUGAGUCAGCUUUCUGUUCAAUGAUACAGCUAAAAAAACAGAUGGAUACCUGUAGAUUGAACUCAACACAAAUGAGGCAUUGGAUGUAGUCACUGUCCCAGGAGAGAUAAUAAAAAAGGGUCAGAGCCAAGAGUUACUACCUGGAUUGUCUCUUGGGAACCCCCUAACCAACCUCGCAGAGAUUGACCAACCUCUUUGUUUACCCCAAUGUGCAUUCAAAUAUUAUCAUGGUCUGUGUGUGCCAUUAAAUCAAAAAGGAAUGCUCCUUUUUAAUGGAAACGCUUGACAACUCUCCCUUCUCGGGUAAAGACAAUAGAGCUUAUUACCUAAGGGAAGCCACGACUGGUAUAACAGAAGCCUCUUAAAUUUGUCUAUUCCCCAACCCUCUACCCUCCACCCCACCCGGCCUUUGUCUUAGAAGGAAUUCAUUUUCCAAGGAAGACCAAGGCUGUCCUCUGUUUCCUCUUUGGGAGAGGACAGAAGUCCAAAUCAAAUUUAAUCUCUGACAGGUUAUCCUGUUCCAGUGCUGGCAUUUCCUUACAGCACACAUUUUCCUGAGGCAAACUGGAUACAAUAUGAUGCAUUAUUUAGCAAACACAUUUUGCAUUAGACUGACCGCCCGAGGCACCAUUGAUACUAGGAACUAACACUGCAAUAGAAAAAAGAAGAAAAAACCUCUUAUUUUGUUUGAAUGGCUUUGUGAUUUAUCAUUAAAACAUGGAUGUAUCAAUUAAGGGGUUUCUUCCUUCCCUGUAACAGACGUGGACUCAGAGUAAUUUGAAACCCAAGAAAAGGAGAAUAUGAGGAGCAUUGCCGACUUGAAGUAAUGGCUGAAUAGUAAGAACUCAGGACGAGGAACUAGCAUGAGAAAACUGGCAUGUCUUGUCUCUAGGGUGAUGGACCACAUAUUUUGGAUUAGUGCUCAUCCCUGGGGCUAAUCAUUGUGGCCAGGGCUGGUGUGGGCUGAGGCAGUCUCAGAGCCCAGCCUGGGUCAAGGGCCCUUUACCUCAUGGGCAGGUUUGUUACCAGAAAAGGGUCAGGGGAGGUGCUGGCAGACAAAAGCAAUAGCCUAGUACUUCAAGGGUGACAGCUGAAGGUAUCAGCUUACUGAUGGAAAUAGUACAAGGGAAAAGGAAAAGUGGUCUGAUAACGAUGAUAACGUUGUGAAGUGUGUAUAAGAAGUCCUGGGCGAAUGACGGUACUGGGAGAUUCAGGAAAAGGCUUUACUUAUUAAGCACAUACCAUAAUUGAAGGCUGGAUUGCUCAGUAUAUGUUUGCUAUAACUACACAUUUUUUUUUUUUUCUGUUAAAAAGUACUGCUAAACUUCCUGCAGGAAAGGAACUUUGUUAUCGUGACUCUUCUCACUCUUCCCAUUGAAAGAAUUGUUUUUAAAAAAAAUUUUUAACGUGUAUUUAUUAUUGAGAGACAGAGAGACAGAGCAUGAGCAAGGGGAGGGACAGAGAGAGAGACAGAGACACAGAAUCUAAAACAGGCUCCAGGCUCCGAGCUGUCAGCACAGACCCCGACGCGGGGCCGAACUCACAAACCACAAGAUCAUGACCCGAGCUGAAGUCGGAAGCCCAACCAACUGAACCACCCAGGUGCCCCGAAAGAAUUGUUUUUAUAACACAGUUCUCAAUAAUAUGAGGUUUCUUAGGAAUGUAACUAUUACAUUACAGUUGAAUAUAUAUAUAUAUAUAUAUAUAUAUAUGUGUGUAUAUAUAUAUUAGGAUACAGGAUCUAUAAGAUCUAUCUAUCAGAUAGGAUAUAUAGGUUAGGAUCUUUGCAUCCAUAUAUAUAAGUGAGACAGGACUAUAAUUUUUCCCUACUAUACUAUUCUAUGCUAUGAUCUCCCAGAGUUCUUAUUCUUUCAAUAAAUAGUCUAUUGAGUCAUUCUGUGUGACAGGCUUUAUGCAAAUAUAGAUGCCGGAGACGUGGAGAUGCCCCAUGUCUCCAUAGUGGGCACAAAACACCCACCACUGUCCUGGUGGAGCUUAGAGUUUAGUAGGGAAGACAGAUGAUAACAACGGAAUUUAAUGAGUUUCUUGAUAACAGAAAUACAGGGUGGUGCGGAGACAGAGCACUAUAGAUAGUAAUACCUACCUUAUAAGGUUAUUAUAUCAGGGACAAUGAAUAAAGCCCCUGAUACAAGACAGAGCACAUAGUAGACACUAAAAGAUACUCUUACUAUUAUUUGACCACCUUUUCUGAUUUUUAAAUAACUAUUAGUUUGUAGAAGUUUCUAAGUUCCUCAGCCAAGUUUGGUAAUUUCUAUUUCUUGAGACUACUGCCCACCUCACCAUUAUAUUAGCAUAAAAUUAGAGUAUUAUAAUUUAAAAAUCGUCAUGUCAGUGGUUACCUACACUUUUUUCGUUCUAAUCUAUUUUUUCUCUUAUUUAGAUUGAAGAGGAGGUUGGUAAAUUCCAUCAACUUUUUAAAGUUUUAUUUUAUGCUUGAAUGUAUUUAUUGAUUCUGUUUUUUUUUUUUUUUUUGUCCUCCUCAAUCCCUUCCACCAGUUGUUUUUUUUUUUUUAAACAAAUUUUUCAAAGUUUCUUUCUCUGGUAUCUAUGUUUUAUUUUUUGUGUAUCUGAAUGCAAUGCGUUUCUCGUAUAUAAAAUUUGUUAACUCAUAUCUUUGUUAUGAAUUGAGCCACAUAUCAACAUGAAAUCAUACUUUGUCUUAUGCUUAUGCCUUGAAUUUGCAUUUUUCCUGUAUCAGUAUCAGGGGGAUUGUAUCUGUAUUGUAAGGGGAAAGGAAUACAUUUAACAUUUUUGUAUCUUUAUAAUAUAGGUUUAUUAGUUUUAUUAAACUAUCAUUGAAUUUUAAAAACUUAUUUUGAAAUUCUUUGCACUUUUCAACCCAUUUAUUGAUGUAACUAUUUUUAUUUUAUUUCUAAUGUCACAUUUUAAUUAUUCUCUCUAGGCUUCUUUGUUGUUUCUAGAUUUUUCCCUUCUGAGACUCUAUACUUUCCUUUGAUCUUCUACAGUCCUCUAGAAAGUUCAUCUCCUAUUUUAAUUCUAUUUCUUUUUAAGUUAAGUAAAUUGGUCCUUGACCAAUGUCUCUUUAAUUAUUAAUGUAGAAAAUACACAUGAAUCUUUUGAGACCCCUUUUCUAGACAAAGAAUUUCAUAUUCUUUUAAAAAAAUUUUUUUUUAACAUUUAUUUAUUUAUUUAUUUUUUUAUGAAAUUUAUUGACAAAUUGGUUUCCAUACAACACCCAGUGCUCAUCCCAACAUUUAUUUAUUUUUGAGACAGAGAGAGACAGAGCAUGAAUGGGGGAGGGUCAGAGAGAGAGGGAGACACAGAAUCCGAAACAGGCUCCAGGCUCCGAGCUGUCAGCACAGAGCACGACGCGGGGCUCGAACUCACGGACGUGAGAUCACGACCUGGGCCGAAGUCAGACGCCCAACCAACUGAGCCACCCAGGCGCCCCAAGAAUUUCAUAUUCUUAUAUCAUUUAAGCUCCACCCUUACUUCCCACUUUUUGAAAAUAUAAUUUGGGGCUCAGCACUAAAUUAUUUUUAUUCAAUUAUCACUAUAUUUUUUUAUGUUUUAUAUCUAAUCCUUUAAGACCAAUUUGUAGAAGCCCUUGCUUUACAACCAUAUUUAGUACAGUUAUUUGGAUUGACGUCCAUGUCUAACUGGAUUCAAUACUCACUCUGAGCCCCUUAGUUUGCAAUUAACAUGUAUUAUUUUCACAAUCACAAAAAUAAGGAUGUUUUUUAAAAGACAGAAAAGCCAAGUGCCAAUACCAAUCAGGAGAGCAAAUGCUUGUUAAAACGUUGCACGUUGUUUUCUUGAAUUUAGGACCAGCAGCUGUUUUUGAGGGCUCUCCAAGAAUUAGAUGUAUGCUUAGUGGCCAUAAUAUGAGGAUUUUUCCCCCCUUUCCUCUUUCUAAUGCCAAAGUCAAGUUUCUCCUCACAAAACCUAAAGUUCUGCCUCUUCCAGAACAGAUUCUAGACCCAGAGGGUUUUAUGUGGACCGUUCUGACGGAGGUAGAACUGAAGAAUCCGGGCACAGCCAUGUGAUUGGAUGAUAACCUUAUGUCAGACUUCUGCUCUCGGUACAUACAAGCCCUAUUGCGCGACACCCGUCAGGUGCACAGAACUUUCUGCAUGGUGAUUUUGUCCAUCCUUUCCUCUGUUUUUUAAAUGCUAUCUUGCCAAAUGUUUGUCUUUUGUCCCCGCUUUCUAUCACCUGGCAGAUUUUUUUUUUUUUUGAGAACCAUUUGUUUACGGUCAUAAAUUACUUUUCUGGUUAGCAACACUUGCUUGAAAUUUUGUAUGUGGUGUUAGUAUGGCCCCAACCGUGGGAGGCCACCUGCCUUUCUGCCAUCUGCCAGGUACGGGGUCUGGGGGGUGUGUAUGGGUGUUAAACUGUCCCUCAAAGGAAACCACAUCAAACAGUUUAUCCUUUUUAAUGCUGUGGUGGGUUCGUUCAUCCCGUAUGAAUGUAAACUUCAGAGUGUUUGGUUCUUGGAACUCAGGAAGAAAUAACAGUUGUUAGAAACUCCUGACAACGAACUGUUCACAAGACCCCUUAAAUUAAGCUGUCUGCAUGUUUUAAAAAGUGUUUCAAGGUUCUAAGUACUUUCUUUCAUUGGAGAUGCUGAGAUAUUACUAUGAAAGUCUUCAUGCAAGGGUCAAGGGUGUUGUUUUAGUCAUUUCAUAUUUCAGGCAUGCUUAAACCAAAGGUACACUUGUGAAAGUCUUUCUUCUUACAAUCUUGAUGUGGUUUCUAUUGAUCCUUGUUCCACUGUGGAUUUGGUAAGAAAGAGUCACUUUUCUCUCACGAUCACAUUUGACUUUCGGGGGGCUUGUGGUUGGAAAAAUAUCAAAGUCUGUGAUUACUUCAUGCUUUACCCAGCCUUAGGGUAAGUGUGGCAGACAUUUGGUUUCAAGGUGUUGCCGGAUGUGAAAUGAGUACUUGUGAACUGCCCACGUCUGGGUGGGGGUUCGUUGGUGUGAGUGACAGCAUGGGGGAACUGCCAUUCUCAAACUGCAGUGUCUGCUGAGAGCAUAAAGGAGGCAGCUGGCAAAUUCAGUGAAGAAAGGGCUCUUUAGGAUCCUAUUUUAGAUAUUAAUAGAGAGGGCUUUCUUAGAAUGUUUUUAACAGGGUAUAAAGGUUCCGAGCAAUAAGGAAGGGGGAAAAAACAAGUAGUUUGCUUGCAUGGCUAGUUGGCUAGAGUUCCAUAACAUGGGUGUUAUAUCUGCAAGAACACUAAAACAGGGUGAUUCGUUACAAAAACCGUGUCCGUAAGAUGCCAAACAAGUGGUUACAGAUGGAGAUAAAACGGGCAGUUAAGCCGGUCUUAAGCCUGGCGUGGUGAGUCUUGAAAGAACUCUUAACUGAUUGGAUAUGGGCCGACGUUUAAUGAAUGCUUUGCUAAGCACCGAUUUACAUUAUCUCAUUUAAUGCUCACGCUAAUCUAUGAGAUAGGUAUUACUUCAUUUUACGGAGGAGGAAGGAAGUGACAGGUCAAAUAACAUAACCAAGGUCACAGAGCUGGUAGACGGUCGGGCUUGGGUUUGAACUUAGACGGCGAACCUCAAGUAACCAACGGCACCCAUGCUGCUAAUUAGCCAGCCUUCGUUUCCUCCCUCCCCACGUCUAACAAAGCAGCUGAGGAAAUUCAUGGAGCUUUGCUGGUCGAGUGACUGACCCUUCAGUAAGAGCUGGUCCCGGCUCCAGGAUGGGUGUUCCCCUAACGUUGCCAUGACUCUCUUGAGUUAUGUUUCAGCUUUGGGCAGUAGCCUGAGCAGGGCUCUGUCUACUCGCUCUGGAAACAACUAUAGCGGGGCUAUUUUUUCCCUUUAUUUACGGUUUGUGAUCACUGCCAGCAAAUUUCUCUGAGGAGCGCAUUUAAAUAUGCCACGUUUGUAUUACUGUGUGUAUUCUGGGUGAAACAUUUAUGAUAAAUCAAGUUUUUAGGUGCCCUAUGGGGAAAGUGCUGAUGGAGAAAUGCAUCUGAAGAAAACUUUUCUCUUAGCAGUAGUUACUUGAGGAAACAGGCGCCGUUUAUCUUGUGAGGCUUGUGGGAGAUGAAUGUAAACCACCCAGAAUUGUGGUUCUGCAUAUCAUAAGAGGAAAAUGAGGCAUCCGAACUUAGCUGGAGGCUUCUUCAAGCUGUAGCAGACCGACCCUCUCCCAUCCUCCGGACCCCACUCUCCAGCUUUCCAGCCCGGUGAAACCGGCAAAUGCCUACGUUCACGUCAAGCCUGGCCCACUGCGUGGAACGCUUUUCUCGGCACUCCUGUGGUUCACUUCUAAACAUGCCUACACUCUGUAUAUUUAACUCCCUUCCUCAGAAAUACCUAUUCUGAUCCUUUUUCCCUCCGCAGUCUAAAUUUGACCCCUAGUAAUGGUGUCGUUACACUAUGUUUCAUUUUACCACUUGUCAUUAUAUACUUGUUUAUGUGACAUUUGUUUAUUACUUGUCUGCUCCACAGGACUUGACUUUAAUUAAGUUCAUUGGACGGCACACGCUUCUGUUAGUGUUUUGCACGGCGUCUUGCCACAUAGAAGGCGUCCUAGAUAUUUGCUGAAAAAUGUGCUUUUCCCAGGCUCUAUAGAAACAGGUGCAUGUAGCUUGUUUAUUAUAUGCUGCCAUUUCUCUCUCUCCCCGCCCCCCCAUUGAUACAAAUAUUUGUAAUCCCCAAUGCCACUCAUAGUGGCACAUAUGAGUGCUCAAUAAAACUGAAGUUGAAUGGGGUCUGUAUGACUUACACCUAAACUUUAACAUUAUGGACGGGAAGCAUUUCAGUUCAGUCUAAGUAAUAUUAUUAAGCACCCAAUAAAGUGUCAGACUUUAUGUAUGGUACUGAAGACACAAAAAUGCGUGAACUGACAGUCUAGAAAGGAAGACAGACCCACAAAGGGAUAAUUAUAGGCAAAAUGUUGCCUGAGCCAUGAAAAAGAUAUACAUAGUGCAUUACAGUAGCACAGAGGAGAGAGAUGCCUCAUUGGCUAGCCUGGUCUGAAUCUUCCAAAUUCAGAGUUAGAACUGUGAAGAGUGCGCAUGUGUGAACAGCUGCCAGGUGCCGGGGGUGGGGGUCAAUGAUAAAGAAUGAUUCAGGGGCGCCUGGGUGGCUCAGUUGGUUAAGCAUCUGACUUCGGCUCAGGUCAUGAUCUCACAGUUUGUGAGUUUGAGUCUCGUGUUGGGCUCUGCGCUGACAGCUCAGAGCCUGGAACCUGCUUCGGAUUCUGUGUCUCGCUCUCUCUCUGCCCCUACCCCGCUCACACUCCGUCUCUCUCAAAAUAAAUACAUGUUAAAAAUUUUUAAAAAGGAAUGAUUCAGUAGCAGUUUGAUGCUCUGAAGCAUGAGGCAGAGAGUUGGUGGCGGUGAGGCUCGAAGGGUAAGUCAUGUUAUGAUCUUAGAAGAUCUACAAAAGAAGGUAUGGUUUUCCUUUAUGUUUUCCUCCAUGACCUGAACAUUGUAACUGCUGACAUUUUUCUUGGUCAGCGAGACCAAGGCCAAUAUUACAAAACACAGGAAACUGUCAGACAGGAAGUUUGAAUAAUUUAUUCAUUCAUUCCUUCAGUGACUGUUUACUUAGUAUCGGCUGAGAACUAGGCACUGAAGAUACUUACAGAUUCAAAUAAGAUACAGUGUUUAUCCUAUCUAAGGACUGCAGUAUAAUGAGGGAGACAGGAGAAUAAACAAGAGGAAAAUACAAUAAGCAUAAAAGUAUAAAUCAGCAGAAGUAAAAUAUUUUGGUCUUCGGACUCCUUUAUUUUCUCCUGAACAUUACUGAGGAUCCAAAAAGACUUUUGUUGAUGCAGGAUAUACGGUACUAUAUAUAUAUGUAGUAUUAGAAAUUAAAACAGAAUAUUUAAAAAAGAUUUAUUAUCAAAAAAUUAACAUAAAUAAUGUACUUUAAUGAAAAUAACAGUAUCUUAUUAUUUUUCUUUCACAAAAAAAUUUAGUGACAAAAGUACCAUUGUUUCACAUUUUCACACACUUCCAUGCCUAGCUUAGUAAGUGUUAGAUUCUCACGUUUGUUUCUGCAUUCAGUCUGUUGCAAGAUGUUGUUUGGUUGAAGUACGUGAAGAAAAUCCAGGCUAUGUGGUUGGAAGAGGGGGGAAUAUUUCAAUAGCCUUUUCUAAUAAUUAUGGAUAUGCCUCUUUCACAUUAUACCAAAACUUGACAAAAGUGAUGGUUUCUUAAAAUUUAGUUGCAAUGUAAAAUCUGAAAUUAAUUGACAGCCUUUUUGUAUUCUGUCAGAUAAAAAUGUAUCAGUCUACCUUGCACUUUGAAUGGAUCUUUUAACUAGGUGUGAUUUUGUCACAUCAGGUAUUAGUCACGUGGAAAAUAUUGGUUCUCUGAGUGACCCGUAGAUGCAUCUCACUAUAAAACAUCAGGUAAUAAUAUAAACAUAAUGUAAAUAUGCUAAGGUAACGAAACAUCGUAAAUAAACAUAAGCGUUUUAAAAAGGUAUUACUAUCACUGCUGACCUCAUCGGAAGAGUCUUUAAAUACAGGGAAGCUGUAAAGCUCGUGGUGAUAAGCUUAGCAAAAUUCUAAGUUGCGUUGGGAAGUUCAAGUUUCGUCACUUGAAAUACUGUCAGCGGUUUUCUUGAAAGUGACAAGUGACUGGCUCACUUUGUUCAUUUUCUAGGAAAAUGUUGGCUAGAUACUCACGUCUAAAUAGCCACGGUGGUAACAGAAGCCAUUCUUUCCAGGAAAAAAAUGGCAUUCCACGAACGGAUUCCGCCUGCAACUCAAGCACACAAGUGCCUUCCUUCAAGACAUCCAUGGGAGCAAAUCCUCAUACUUCAGUAGGCGGAAGUGCUUUGUCCCACACCGUCAUGGAGAGUUGAAGACUGUGUACUAAAGAGCCAAUUCUAAUGAAAACAAUACUAUCUCCUGUUUCACCGAACACAAUAUUAAGUAGGACAAGCGUCUGCUUGUUUUCACUUUAUGCGCGUGAUGGUGGUGAGCUCGCUGAGCCCCAGCCCGGUUUGGAGCUACGGCCACGAUUUGCGCCCAGAGGCUACGCCAGCGAAUACGGUGUUUAUCGUGUCUAAGGAGUCGCUUUUGCGCCAGGGGCGCAAUGCUGAUGUGGUGGUUCCAGGAAGAAUCAACGGACUUUUGAAAAGGUAUGGAGCACUUUGGACGUUUCAGCACCACUCGUGUUGGCUAUCAAACGUUCAUGCAGAAAGAUGAUCUUCUUUGAUGAUUACUUGGUGCUGAUACUGGAUAAAUGCCAGCAAAAUAGCCAUGUUCAUAGAUGCUUCCAUUUCUAAGGCCAAAGUACGAUUCUGCAGAAGAGAGAACAGCUCAGUCUUCUUGUGUCCAGCUAGGUCAUUAAUUCAACAAGUGACUGUAUUGUUGAAAAGUGGCAGGGCUAUGAAUUCUUUGCGCUGACUUUUUAGCCAGCAGGCUUCCAGCAUUUAUUUCCACCAAAGGAAGCUUCAUUUUCUCACACCUGCCAUGUAUGUGUCUCCAGUCAGUGCAGUUUGGUGAUUUACCCUGUGAGAUACCUCUUGGGGCUUCUUCAUUUGUAGUUCAAAAGAUAUAAGGAGUACUUUUUUUUUUUUUUUUGCAUGUAAGAGCUCAUUACAUCUAAGUUUAACAUAUUUCUAAGUCAUUCAUCUUUUCUCACUAUAUUUUGUUGAAUUUUCUUUUGUAUAUUGAAUCUAAUUCAACCAAGGAGAGUACAUUAGUAACACGAAUCAAUUUCUGAAAACAAUUUUUUGUUACUUUGAAAAGAGGGUUUUUUUCCCCAACUCCGCAUCUUGAAUAAAUAUCCCAAGAAUAUUGGUUUGAAGGGGUGCCACAUUGUGAGUGUACAUACACCAUAGGUCAUCCCAAAAAACGUGAAGAAGAGGGGCUGCUGGCCCAGAGUUUGGGUUGAGAUGUAUUUUUUCCCAGUUAGUAAUAACGUAUUUACCCGUUUUCACCGAGUACUCACUGAGCCCCAAGUACUCACCGAGCACCUGCAGCACUCACUGAGGACUGCAGGUGUCCGAUCAGUUUGGGGAGGAGCUUCUGGCUCCAGAACAGAGCCACGUUGGUUGGUUGUCCCAUAUGCUGAUGACCUUUCCCUACUUGAGUGACGCUGUCACUGACCUAAUGUAUAGCAUACCAUUAAAAUCCAGUUUGAUACUAUGAGCCUACGGAUGAGGUUUUAACUGCAGAGCAUAGGUUGUUAGUCCUCAAGGGACUUACAAGCCAUGUAGUCCACAAAUACAUGGCAAGUGCCAAGAGCUUCAGUUACUUGCCUGAGUUCACCUGCUAAUUAAUGGUAGGCCUGAGCCAACAAGUUAAUGCUUUGACAUACAGUGGAGGUGACUUAGGAGCAAAGUCACAUGCCAACUUUAGGGGCAACUCCCUCCCGGAAGGAGGAACUACAUGACCUAGCUGAAUUGUCACAACAACAAACAAUCAUAGCAAAUUAAUGGGAGAUUUAAGGAUAUUCAAGCUGACUUUGCUAAUAAGCAAUAUUUGCCAACCUUGAAACCUAAGCCUGGAUGAGGUGGAAAUCAACUUUACUCCAGUGCAUUAGAAAUGUAGUAUUUGAUACAUUUGAGUUAUUUCCUAGAUUAAAAUUUUAAUAUAAAUUUCAAAAAGUGAGAUUGGUGUGUUUGGGGAAAACCCUAGAAACGACUGCCCUCUAUGUUAAUAUCUCCUAAACCCAUUCUUGGUUUCCAUGCCAGUUAUCAAGGGGUUCUACUAGAAUUAUAUUUUGUAAGUGUCCGAUUUCACUCCCUUUUCUUUUUCUGCAAUCCAACAAUACAUCCCACUUGCCUUUCUCCCCUCCCCUUCCUGGCCCCAAACACUCCUUUUUGGAGCAUUCAAAUUCCAGAGAACAGUGAGCUCUAUGCCACCAAUCCAAAGCAACUUUUACAGCAUCUUAUUCUGUACCUUUAUAUGCAGGCAAAUCCUCCCCAUCUCUCCUCUGUCCCCACCCCACAACUGUCCCCUCCGGCCCCACCAUCCCUGUAUUUUCCCACCUGGCAAAUAGCCUCACUGAAUUCUGGGUGGUGGGCAUUGACCAGACUUCAAUACAAACGCUCCUGUUGAAAAUGGCACCAACUUAGGUGAAGAACAAAGACACUUCAGCUUCAAAGCGGAAGCUCCAGUUUCUGCACAGAAGGGGUUUCACACAACUCCGGUUAACAACAACAACCACCUCAGGGGAAGAAAAGUCCCCAACUACAAAGAAAUGCCAAACAAGCAGUCAUCAGCCUUUCUUUUCUUCCUCUGGCAAGUUUAGCACAAAACCUGAUCAGGAGAGCAGUUCUUGGAUAAUUGGUUGGACCGUGACGGCUGCUAGUAGCAUUUCUUCAGCCUCCUGUAUCCCAGAAAUUUAUGGAGAUCUGAGUGGUCUGUGUUCACCCAGGCUUAGAGAUGUGCAGUGACCAUGGCAUGGCACUGUUUUGCUAGAGAAGGAUUCUGGCAACCCAAAGAUAACAGGCCAGGUCUUGGUUUUCCUCUCCUCUCCUCUCCUCUCCUCUCCUCUCCCUCCCCUCCCCUCCCCUCCUUCUUUCUGUUGUUCCCUCUCUUUUUUCUCCCCAUUAUAGUCAAAUGCUGGGGUGUGGCCACACAGCACUGGCAAACACAUACUUCCUCUAAUUGCCAUGUUUUUGAGGGAAAGAAAUUGGAAAGAGUGAGAAAGUAGGGGUUGAGUAUGUAGGGGAAGAGACAGAAUGAAAGUUGAAAAUAAUAAACAAUUUUUAAAUGUUACCUUUCCCCCGUCCAUAAACCCAAGAAGAGAAUGAAAAAGAAUGUUUUCGGGUUGAUAGAGGCCUGACUCAAAAUGAAAGGGGGCAUCAGUCCUUUGUGGGUUGAGGCAUUAAAGUAAACAAGUCUGACACACAAUAUGCUUAAGUUCCCAUUCUCGUUCUGUUAAGAUACUUCUCCAAGCUUAUAACGUGAGAGAUCUCUUUUUUCCUUCGAUCCCUCUGUUCCCUUUCCCUUCCUCCACCCCAAACUCUCUGUUUUCUCCAUCUCCCUGUUGGUCUCUGUUAUCCGAGAGGUGGACAAGAGCCAGGCUUAGCUGCGGUUCUUUGCCACGUCACUAGCCACACCAGUUGUUGAUGAAAAUCUGGCACUGAGAGAUGAGACCAUCUGUGGUGAAGUUUAAACCUAUUUACCUCUCUGGCAAGCUGGUUGAAGCCUCUCUUUCUCUGUAUUCAUUGAGGCUGAAGAUGACAAAUACAGUGGGAUUAGAGCCAUGGGAUGAAGUUUGGGCAAAACAAAACCUUUCCCCAAAGACAGCUCAUAGUAGUUGUUAGCCGUAAGGAUAAGCAAAUCCCUAGAGUCUGGAGUGUAUAGGCAAGGGGCACUCCUGCCCUGGGUUCCACUGUCUGUGCACUUGAAGGAGGCAGACAACUGGCUGCGUUACAGUCUGGGCUUUGGGUCUUGGGAAAUGCAAACUGGAAUCUGCUUCUUUGUUGAAUGAUCUUGGAAUGAUCCUGGGCUAUAUUUUGUGAUUUUCAGGGCAAACAUCCUGCUUCAGAGAACUGUUCUCAGAUUCAGCUAAUGAUCUGCAGAAGAACACCACCAUAGUUCUAACCUGAAAACAGGACUCCACAGCUUGACCAAUUACCUGAACCACAACACUUGAGUCCAAAGGAUUUUGGCUGCUUCCAAAAGUCCAAUCAACCCUUAAAGCUACCAGUGAGACUAUUCAGACAAGCAUGAAGUGAGCUCUGAAGUCAAUGCCAAAUGCUUUGGACAAUGGCAGGAUCCCUGGGCAGAGGCCAAUUUACCAUGAAGCUAAUAAAGCUUAAGCUUCUGGGCCCCUUUUGAGGCCCUGAGAGGGGUCCUAGCAAUGUGUUCACAUAUUUGCCUUUUUGUUGCAAAAUUUGCACAAGUAAGGCUCAAUGAGUCAACUUCUCACCCUAUUUCAGCUUCUCCUCUGCUAUAUUUCCCCCGCCUGUUGCAUGGGGUUGGAGUCAUCCAAGGCAGUUGAGUUAGAGAUACAUUUAAUCUGAAUUUAGUGAGAUAGAUUUAUGAGGAUCAAAGUCACUUCUGUGUUUGGUCACUUUAUUGCUGGCUAUCUCGGUAUAGGAAUGGCUUCCAGGUACACACCUCCAGCCCACUGGGCUGGCCCAUCUGGCAUCAUGACACAAAACGGCAGGGCCAGACGUUGACUCUCGCUAUGAAAGUACUCGUGCUUGGCAUGGGAAAUCUCUGGGCAGUGGAGGAGGGGAAACGAGUCUUAAACUGUGCACAGCCAGAGGCUGGUCUGUGAAAUGGGGAAGAAUACAUUGUGAGGUUAUAAUAAAGAUGAAACAAAAUAAAGUGUGUUAGAAGUAUUAGCCAGUGUCUAGCAUUAGUUGGUAAAUAAAGGUACUGUUAUUUCUUACUUGGAGCAUCUUGGUAUCAUCUCCAUGAAAACCAGGUAUCAGAAUACCUGGGAGAUGGUGAUAGCUCUUGAAACCUAUCAUUAAAAAAAUUCUUUGUAUUCUUUAUUUACUUUUGAGAGACAGCGAGACAGAAUGUGAGUGGGGGAGGAACAGAGAGAGAGAGGGAGACACAGAAUCCGCAGUGGGAUCCAGGCUCUGGGCUGUCAGCACAGAGCCCGACGCGGGACUUGAACUCACAAACCACAAUGUCAUGACCUGAGCCAAAGUCGCACAUUCAACCAACUGAGCCACCCAGGCACCCCAUUGAAACCUAUUAUUUUAAAAAAGGUUACCUUUCUUUCUUUCUUUCUUUCUUUCUUUCUUUCUUUCUUUCUUUCUUUCUUCUUUCUUUCUUUUUGCCUUUUUAUUGUCAAAAUGACUCAUGGGAGAAAAUAUCGAGGAAACUGGUUAUCUGGAUCCUAGAUGAAAGCACUGCACUCACUCUAAAUGAUUAAAAAUUUAAACAUCCUCAAGGUGCUUCAUUAAUAGGACAUUCACAGGAAUCAAGACCUUUCAAAUGCUACUAGUAAGAAACAAAGUCCACCUGAUAUUAUUAAGCGGAACUUUGUUUAUUGCUAGAUUCUCUGAGGAUAGGAAGAACAUAUUUGGGCUUGACAAUGUGCGGUGCCUGUCCCUUGAAAUAGAUGCCCAACAGUGACUGUUACACAUAUCCGAUUGUUCUUUUUAUUGGUUCAUAGCCCAUGGCCUCUACCCAGUCUGAGUUUUAAAGAUGAAAUUGAAAUGGACCAUGUCCUCUCUGUUACCAUUUCUAAAGUAACGGUUAAAAUCAUCUCUAACUAGAGAGAGAAAAAAAGAAAAUGACACCUGAAACAUUUUUGUCAGUUACUAAACAAUCGGCAGGCCAGAAACAAGCUUUUCUCUGCAGAAAAAGGCCACAGGCCCCUGUCCUCUGCCUAGGCUACAUUCUGUUACACAUUUUUCGGCUCGCCCACCCCCCCUCCCCCGCCCCUGCCCUGCAAUGUCCAAAAGAAAAGAGGUGCCUCCUUUAACUGAAAGCAACUUCCCCCACAUUGGAGAACCAGAUCCCUGGCCCUUUUAGCCCCGGCAUCACCUUGGUGAACCUUCAAGAAUGUGCCCAUACACAAAAGAGAAUUUGCUCCUCCUUCUGGGAAAUGCUCCCUUAGGGCCCCAUCAGGUUUGCCAGAACCAGUUGAAAGUUCAGCAAUCUUAACUGUACUUCAGGAGGUCAGAUCUAGCUGAGGUCCAGGCUAUAAAGUGUUAGCGUGUAGGUGUGGACUGCAGUGCAGAGAGAGAGAGGGAGAGAGGGAGAGAGGGAGAGAGACAGGGGGACCCCGCGUGUUCCGCAAAGUGCCUCUCUCCUGCACCCAGCCAUGAGUGUAUGAAAUAAUUCCUCCUUUGUCCACCAGCUGGCUUUCAAAGCUGUCGGGAUGAGCCCUGCUGGACCUGUCUGGGAAGCUUGUUAAACUGCACCGAGUAAGUCAGGGAGAGGGAGGGGUGGGGAAAAGAUGAAAGAACGAACACAAUCUGUGUGAGGCAGUGGCCCUGACUCUAAAGAAACAGCCGAUCUAAGGGGAGGAAGAGCUUCCUCUAAAACCAGAGACUGCAUGCAAUGCAAAUGACCCCGUGUGCAGCUGCCUCUGGCAGACAGCCACCCGCCUCCCAAAGAAUAAAGUCAGAGCAACAAUUCCCUCCCGAAUCCUGAAGCUUAGUGACUUCAAACAAGAAAAGAGAAAAGUGACAUGUUUUUUUCUUUUCCCAGUGAACUCAUCUAUUCCCCAAAUUGUGCUGAUGACCUCAUCAUCUGCAGCUGUGCAGCUCGAAGCUCGCCCACCCUUCAACUCCCCGGGGAUCACAUCUGGCGGGGAGCCUUGGUACCUGGGGCGGACACAUCUGGAGGUGACUGUCUCUGGAAAUGGAGUGUUUUGUAACCUCCUUUCACUCUUAUCGAUGCAGCCAAGUGGCAGAGAAGGCUUUGGCAAUUUUCUCCCUUGGAAGACAGCCCUUUGGUCUUCAUUCAGUAAGGAUUUGCAGGGGAAAACAGUGAGGUUAAGCUUAGCGCUUCAGAUCCCUUUUCAUUUUUCAUGUAUACAUUCAUGAGUCAUUGCAGAAAUGAUAUUGGCGGGCGCCUAGGGGGCUCUUUCGGCUAAGUUUUGACUCUGGGUUUCAGCUCAGGUCAUGAUCUCACGGUUCAUGAGUUCAAGCCCUGCAUCUGGCUCCAUCCGCGACGAAAGUACAGAGCCCGCUUGGGAUUCUCUCUCUCCCUCUUUCUCUGCCCUUCCCCUGCUCAUGCUCUCUCUCUCUCCAAAUAAAUAAAUUAACUGGAAAAAAAAAAAGAAAUGAAAUUGGUCUUUUGAAUCAAUUCUGCCUGUGUUCCUUCUAUACUCUGGCAAGGCCCUGAUUGACAAAGACUAUUAAAGUAUAAACUGAUACGGAUAAUGACUCCAGUCAACAGAAUUAAAUUGACUUUGGAAGACUUCAUGGUAAAAAAGUCUUCAAAGACUAUGGAACAUUAUGCAGUCAUUAAAAAUGAUGGGGAACUAUUUAUGAUGCAAUGCCUUGGCCAUGUUAUGAUGGAAAAUACCAGAAUACAAAAGGAUUUCGGCUUUGUAGAAGAUGAGACAUGCAUGGACAAAAUAAUUAAAAGAGUUAUUUUUAGGAGGGGAGAAUAUUACUGAUAUGUUUCUUUUUUAUGCAUUUCUGUGCUUUUAAAUUUUAUCUCCUGAGUAUGCCUAACUUUUAUAAUUAGGAAAAAAAGUUAUUUUGAAAGGGAGAAAAAUCAAAUCCCUGGCAGAUGAGUGCUCUUGGAAAGAUGUAAUGAAUUAUUAGCCUGGGGAUUGUAAACUAAAAUGACGUAGGUACCAGGCAGGUAAUAUAAAUGAGUGAGCCAGGACUGAUAUAAGAAAAUGGCAAACUGCAGGGGAGCUUGUAUUCAAUCCUGCUGAUGUUUAUCAUGUGGAAAUAUAAGUGGCUCAGAGUUAAUGAAUCAGAUUUUUCUAGAGAAGUCCUAAAUCAAUAUUUUUAAGUGAAAUUGACCAAUUUUUAAACGAAGGCAACAAACUCACAUUAAGCAGAAAUCGGCUACACGUGUUGGGCCAACAAAGUAUUCAGCCUACUGGGCAUCCUUCUGAAACCUGCUCGUUAACCAAUGAAAGCGAACUCCUGGGAGCCAUCCACCAGCCUGGGGAGUUUCCAGGGAUUUCACUUCUUUUCAUUACU
rnacentral:lncRNA from 1 species